AUGAAACAAAUGUAUCUUUGGGGUCCCUGCAAAUGUAAAUAAGUUUACAACCAGAAUCAAUUAUAGAUCUGGGUAAGAAGGAAUAAGGAAGAUGAGUGGCUAAAAGAGGACUUCCAAGAUGUCGAUUAGUGGAAAACUGGGCAUGAUCGAACUCCAUGUAAGGCACAACGUCAUGAGGCAUCUUGGAAAGUAAAGGGGUGGUGGAAUCAUUGUAUGAAGUUCUUGAAAUAGUGGUGAAAGUGAGGGAUUUUAACCAGGCUGUACCUGUUCUUAGAGAGCUACAAAGGAUGAUAUCAGUUGGUUGAGCCUGAAAUUGUUGUUGAGCCGACAAUGCUCCUUGUAGAAAAGGCAGGGUAAUCCAAAAACCUUGAUAUUGAUAAAGAUCUAGAGGAAGACCCCAAAAGUUCACUUUAGGGAGAGUAGAUAUCAUCUCUUCGAAAGAUUUUUGAAGCACAUCUCUAUCUUGUUUCUCAAGAUGGGAUUCCAUGAGGGACAGGCUAAUGAGUGCAAAUACGAUAUAACAAGGAUGGCUUUGCAAAUAGGCUGCCACUCUUCUUUUUCUUUUAUAAGGAGGCAGUGGAUGGAAUGAUAUUUUUUAUAUAUAUAAAAAACAAUAAAAUAUAAAGAAAAAGACAGAAAAAUAAUAAAAUAUAAAUUGCGCAGUCUGCACGCUGUUGCAUUCUUCUCCGUUUGAUUCUCCCUACUAAACACACAUUUGUAAGGGACCCGAUGCGUCACCUUCCGCUCAGACAGUAGGCCAUAGUAAGACCCAUUUUCAAAAUUAUUUACGAAAAUGAAUCACGGGAAAAAAUAAUUAUGUGUAUAAACCGAAAACCAAAAAUGACAUACUUCAAACUGAGUUUUAAGUGUUUCACUGAGUUAUUAGUGGGUAUAUAUAGUCUUUUAUCUCAAACCUCUUGAGUAUUAUUUCAUAAAGAUAAAUACAUGAACUACGUCUACCUAACUCGGAGUUCGUAAAUACUCAUACCGAAAAGUAGUGGUGAGGCACAUUGCACCAGCGGACCUCACGGUUUCAAGAGGUUUAAUAUAUAUAGAUCCUAAUACUACCAUUUGAAUCCUACUAGGUAGUAAACCUAUAAAGAAGCUAGCUAGUUAGGCCAUGGUACCACCAGUUUGAUGCAGCAUUGCAUCGAUCUCAUCCCCAUCCUCCAUUUCCAACUGUAUCAACACAAACACAUAUUAGAAACCAAGGAACAACACAUAAGACAAGGACAUAUUAGAAACCAAGGAACAACAAAUAAGACAAGGAAGAGAGGAGGCUAUAUUAUAUAAUAUAUAUAUAUAUAUAUAUAUAUAUAUAUAUAUAAACCAAGGAACAAGACAUAAAUCUAUCAAUCAGACAGGUUGGGCUGGAUCCAUCUAGAUCAUUUUGGUUCAAGAUCAACAGGUCUACAUAUAGAGAGGGAUGAGAAACAUACCUCAUCCGGAGUCUGCUCACCCCGCAGACGGCGACCAUCGAAAAGGAAGGCAAUAGAGUUGAACUCCACCGAUUGCCGAUCACAAUAAGCAUUCAUAAGUUUCUUUAGUUGAGUACUUCUUUUAAUCCUAAAGAACACUUCAUUCCCAUCCUACACAACAGACAUGGAUUAGCAUUUUGUAACUUCACAUAUUUUACAUCAUUGAACAAAAAAAUAAUAAGGCUAAAAUAUAUUAUAAGUCCCUAUACUCUUUGUAAAUUUAAAAUUUAGUCAUUAUAAUUUUAUUUUCAGGAUUUUAACGUUUUUACUUUUUAGAUUUCAAAAUGUCACAUCAAUAAAUUGAAUAAAAAAUUAAUAGCUUUAACUAAAGUCUUGAAAAUAAAAAAUUCAAGGAUUAAAUUUCAAAUAUAUGAAAAGUACAGGGACUGGCUUAGUUUAACCAAAUAAUAAUAAUUUAUAAAGAAUAUACUCUAAUAUGUUUAUAAAAUUAAAAAUUCUAAAUUUUCAAAUAUAUUCUAAUAUCUAAAUUUAGCCCUUUUUUCCCCUCUUCCAUAUAUAAGAAUCAAUUAAUUUCCUUUUGUAAUUACAUACCAAUUCAAGUAAAAUAACAAAAUAUAAUAAUUAAAUUUGUCAAAAAAUAUAAUAAUUGAUAGAUUAAAAAAACAUUCAAAUCAUAAUUUGUCCAAUUUAAGGUAAAAUAGGAACCCACAAAAAGGAAAUAUGCUAAAAAAAAAUCCCAAAAAUGUAAAAUUUAAAAUUCUAACAAUUUUUUUUUGGUGAAUUACAAGAAGAGGGCAGAGGCUCUAAUAAUAAUGCGACUUGAACCUAGGCCACACUGAGGCAGUGAACACCCUGACCAUGAGGCUAACACAUGAGGUUCAACGUUAUCAUUAAACCAACCAAAAAAAAAAUUCUUAAAAGAAAAUACUAUCAUUAAUAGAAACUAUUAAUAAUAAUAUAAAAAGACGGCGCAUAGUACAACUGAUAAAUAAGUCAUUACAAAUUGAUGCAUAAGUGUCAUGUCUGCAAAAUAAUAAAAUUACAGUAAUCGCAACACUAAAAGAAUUCAGAAACAUUAGAGUGGUGCAUUAACUUGAUCAAAUUGCUCACAUUCUAACCCUACCAUCAUCAGACCAACGAUUGCCAAAAGCCCUAAGAGACCCACAGUAUCAAUGAUGCACAAAAAAUUAAAUCGCGAAUGACCUAUCUUCCUUCUCAUCAUCAUCUCGAACUUUAAGUUUAUAAAUACUAUUAUUUACAAUUAGGAACAAUUAGCCAACCUAGAAAUUAAAUAUAAAAUAAAGUCAACAUAGAAGCCAACCCUUUAAAGAUAAACUUGUUGAACAAAAAUGUGCCUACUUGUGUUUAGACAUUAAAAUUAUCAAUUGAAGGACCCCCAUUGCUCGCUAGACCUGUCCAUAGGCCGGGCGACCCGGCUUGGCCCGAUGGCCCGCCCUAAAUUUGGGAGGGUUCAAAGGUAAAUCAACCUUUGAACCAUUCAAAAUUUUUUUUGAAUAUUUAUAUAAUUUUUUAAUCAAGUUUUUAAUAUUUAUGUGUAGGCAUGUAGAUUUUUUUAUCUAGAUCAGCUGAUAGAACUGAAAGAUUAGUUAAAUAUGAUCUACAUACAAAAAAUGCAUCUGCUAUAAAUAGUGUUUCCAAACGGAAAAGCUUUGAGCAAAAAUCAUUCUUUUCUUUUGGUGGCAGAAACAACACGAAGAAGAAUAUUGAAAUUCAAUCUCAAAACAAAUAGUUUAAUAUUGGUUCGAUGGUAACUAAAAUCUAAUAUUGUAAUAUAUAUAUAUAUAUAUAUAUAUAUAUAUAUAAAAAUUUGGUGAUAACUACAACUUUAAUGUUACGCUUGAUAGGAAUAUUAUUUUUUACAUAUAUUUUAAUAUAUGGAUUAGUAAUGAACUAUUUCAACCAGGUAUAUUUAGCCACUUUCGUGGCCUUAUUUUUUUACAAUAACUAUUACUCAUAUUUCUAAUUUUAAAUCUGUAUCGUUAUUCUUUAUUUUAUGUAUAACUAUUAUAAUAUAUGUAAUAAAUAAAAUUUUUAAUCGAAUUUUAUGCGUUAAAUUUAUUAUUAUAUGAGCUGUGUUGUUAAUUUAUAUUAUUAAACUAUUCAAAACAAACAAAUUAAAAAAUUUCAUCAAUUAAAUUAAAAAUAAAAAAAUUUACCCACAAGGAUUUUAUCAAAUGAUUUUAAUAAUUUGAAACUGUUGCUACAUAUAAGCCGAUUAGAUAUUGAUUUGUUUCAUCAUAAAUUUGUUUUCAUAUACCACCCUCUUUAUAUAUAUAUAUAUACAACAUCCUAGAUUUUUUUUUUGUAGAAAAAAAAAACAGCUUAAAACGAAAAUUCAAAAAAUUACACUAAUGACUCAAAGCAAGAACAUAAUCCAUCUCAAUUAAAUUUUUAACUGAUUGUGGUGGUUCUUCAAAUACAACAUCCAAAAUUAAUCCAUUGCGACUAAUAAAAUAGCAUUAAAAUUUUAAGGUUUAAUAUAUCAUUUGAUAUUUAAGUUUAACUUUUUUUAAUAUGGUAUUUAUGUUAUUUUUUGUUCAAUUUAGUAUCUAUAUUUGAUAAACGUUUCAUCUUUUGGUACCCAAAAGCAGCAACAUUAACUUUUUUGUGUUCAAUUCGGGUUUUAAAGUUAAUUUGAUAAAAAUAUAUAGCUAAUAAUAUUAGCAAUUACCUUAUCUUCAAAGGUUGGAAAAUAGAAUCGAUAGGUCUCAGAUCGAAAGUUUUAAUUAUUUAAUUAAAUAAGUCAUGUAUUCAAAUUUCCGGGAGUGGAUUUAUGAGAAGAAAAUUAUGGCAUGAGAGGACCAAUGAGACAGAACACUCUUGGAUGCAUUUCUUCGCUAGCAGAGCUUCGGCCCAUGUUAUAAGUACUUUUAGGUAUUGUAUAAAAAUAAUAAUAACAAUUAACUUUCAUCAAAUCUAACCCUAAAACUCGAAUUAAACCACAUCUAUCAAAUUGUACAAUUAAAACUAAAUUUAUUCUAUUAACAGAAUCAUGAAAAUUUCAAACUUUAUAAUUUUAGCAAUAAGAUUCAUUGAAUCAACCUUAAAACCCAAAUUAAACACUAAAAAGUUAACACUGUCAAUCUUGAAUAUCAAAAUAUAUAACUUUUGUUAGUUAUACACGUAUCAAUUUCAUUACACCACCACGUGCCUACCCAAACCCAAAUCCAUGCCUAAGCAGACACGUUGUUUCACCUUUGUAUUCAUCUUCUUACACGACAACAAUGAUGAAAACUUCAUAUGUGUGUGUAUAUAUAUUUGUUGUUUUGGAGUUUGAUGAUUAUUUAAAGAUGGGUAGCAGCAAUCUCUUUCUCCUCCAAAAAUCCUUUCGACCUUCACUUUACAUGCCUUUUUCCACAGCCCAUCACUGCAAUUUCUUUAAGGUAAUGAUCUUUAAAUCGAUUCGAAUUAAGGUGACUAUUGAGAUUUAUAAUGUCUUGAUAAAAAGUUUCAGGGAUUUAGCCACCAAAGCAAUGGUGAAGAAAACAAAGAGGAUUUCCUUCAUUUAGCCCGAAACAAUGAUUCACUAACAGAGAAAACUAGUUCAAUCGAUUCGAAAUUGAACCAAAAAAGAAAAGCCAACGAGGAAGCCAUGGCCGACCAAGACCAAGGGUUGGCUAGCCAGACCGUGGAGAAAGUACAAGACGGUGCGGCCGAGGCACUCAAUAGUCAUCCCAAGGUUGAUGCAGUCAAGGAUAGGUACAAGGACCAUGAACCAGGGGCUGACUACCACAAGACUGGAGACAAACUAAACCAUGAAAAGCAAUAAGAAUAUAUAAGUUGAAAUAUGUUAUAAAUCUUUGUACUUUUUAUAAAUUUAGAAUUUAUAUCUUUACUCUUUAGAUUUUAGGUGCAAUUUUUACGAAUUUAUGAUAUUUUAAUUUAUAUAAUUAUAUUUAAGUGUAUUACUGAGUUGAUAUCACACAUAUUACAAAUGUGACUUAGUGCAUAUAGAUAGUCUUUUAUCUCAAACUUCUUGAGUAUUAUUUCAUAAAGAUAAAUACAUGAACUACGUCUACCUAACUCGGAGUUCGUAAAUACUCAUACUGAAGAGUAGUGGUGAGGCACAUUGCACUAGCGGACCUCACGGUUUCAAGAGGUUUAAUAUAUAUAGAUCCUAAUCUUACAAAUACUACCAUUUGAAUCCUACUAGGUAGUAAACCUAUAAAUAAGCUAGCUAGUUAGGCCAUGGUACCACCAGUUUGAUGCAGCAUUGCAUCGAUCUCAUCCCCAUCCUCCAUUUCCAACUGUAUCAACACAAACACAUAUUAGAAACCAAGGAACAACACAUAAGACAAUGAAGAGAGGAGGCUAUAUUAUAUAUAAAAUAUACAUAUAUAUAAACCAAGGAACAAGACAAAUCUAUCAAUCAGACAGGUUGGGUUGGAUCCAUCUAGAUCAUUUUGGUUCAAGAUCAACAGGUCUACAUAUAGAGAGGGAUGAGAAACAUACCUCAUCCGGAGUCUGCUCGCCCCGCAGACGGCGACCAUCGAAAAGGAAGGCAAUAGAGUUGAAAUCCACCGAUUGCCGAUCACAAUAAGCAUUCAUAAGUUUCUUUAGUUGAGUACUUCUUUUAAUCCUAAAGAACACUUCAUUCCCGUCCUACACAACAUACAUGGAUUAGCAUUUUGUAACUUCACAUAUUUUACAUCAUUGAACAAAAAAAUAAUAAGGCUAAAAUAUAUUAUAAGUCCCUAUACUCUUUGUAAAUUUAAAAUUUAGUCAUUAUAAUUUUAUUUUCAGGAUUUUAACUUUUUGCUUUUUAGAUUUCAAAAUGUCACAUCAAUAAAUUGAAUAAAAAAUUAAUAGCUUUAACUAAAUUCUUGAAAAUAAAAAAUUCAAGGAUUAAAUUUCAAAUAUAUGAAAAGUACAGGGACUGGCAUAGUUUAACCAAAUAAUAAUAAUUUAUCCAGAAUAUACUCUAAUAUGUUUAUAAAAUUAAAAAUUCCAAAUUUUCAAAUAUAUUCUAAUAUCUAAAUUUAGCCCUUUUUUCCCCUCUUCCAUAUAUAAGAAUCAAUUAAUUUCCUUUUGUAAUUACAUACCAAUUCAAGUAAAAUAAAAAAAUAUAAUAAUUAAAUUUUUCAAAAAAUAUAAUAAUUGAUAGAUUAAAAAAACAUUCAAAUCAUAAUUUGUCCAAUUUAAGGUAAAAUAGGAACCCACAAAAAGGAAAUAUGCUCAAAAAAAUCCCAAAAUUUAGAUUUUGGUCACAAUUAAAGGAAGAAAUCCCUAAAACCUAAAACUCACAGCAAAAAUCUAUUUAAACCCUAAAAAAGGGGGAUUUGAUUUUUUUUUUUUGAACCUGGCCUUUGACUUUGAGAUUGAUGUGAGCCGUUUGAUCAGCGGGUUUCUUGUCCUCCUCUUGAUUGGUUACUCCCGUCAUCUUCUUUCUUCUACGGAGCUAUUUGGGAGAUCCGAUUAGGGUUUCGAAAUCCGGUUUUCGGGGGUCCGAAUCAGCUAUUGUUUUUCCUUUUUCUUUUUCCUUUUUUCGCUUGGCUGGAUAAUCACGCGAUAGGGGGAUUUUGUUUUAUAGUGGUUGUCGGAUUAGGAAAUUAACGGUUAGGAUUUGUUUUAGCUGAGAUAGAUCCGACGGACUAAAAUAUUUUUCAUUUAGCAUACGAUGUCGUUUUUGUACAGUUUUAGUUUUUGAAUUUUGUAUUGUGAAAUGGAAAUAUAACCCACGUUUAGUUAAAUUUAGGGAAAAAUACAUCACUUAACAAUCACUCAAUUUUCAAAAAAUAAUAAAUCAGUUUUAGUAACUAUUUUUCAUUACAGACGUUAAAGCCUAUGCCGUCAUUUAAACACCCCCAAUUUAAGAAACCUAGCUGGGCAGUAAAAGAAGAAGAAGAAAAAAUGAAGAUGUUGUCCAAUCCCUCACUCUUGAAAACCAAUCAUCGGAAACGAAACUGAAAACAAUACCUUAGCAAUAGGGAUGUGCAAAAUUCGGGUAAAACCGAAAAAAUUCGGUUAACCGACCGAAUUACCGAAUUCGGUCGGUUAACCUAAUUUUUUCGGUCGGAGGUUGGUUAAUUAUUUUUUGAUUUUUCGGUUAACGGUUAAUUCAGUUCGAAACCGGUCGGUUAACCGAAUUUUUUCGGUUUAACCGUAAAAAUUAAUAAAUAAAAUUAUAAUAUAUAAAUAGGCCCACUAUUCACCUAAACCCAAUCCAAACCCAAGUAUUCAACCCAACCCAACCCAACCAUAAAAAUUACAAAUAAUUUAAUAAAUAAAAAUAAAAUUCUAAAACUAAAACUAAAACUAAAGUCUAAAAGUCUAAAAAUAAUUUAAUUAUGUAGUGAUUCAAUUUGGUUAAUUCGGGUAAUUCGGUUAAUUCGGGUAAUUUGGUUAAUUCAGUUAAUUUUUAACCAAAAAUAAAAAUAUAUAUAUUUUUCGGUUAAUUCGGUUAAUCGACCGAAUUAACGGAAAAAAUUUCGGUUCGGUUAACGGUUAAAAUUUUUGAAAGGUCAGUUAAUUUGGUUAAUGUUAUUUCGGGUCGGUUAACCGGUCGGUUAACUGAAUGAACACCCCUACUUAGCAAUGGCUACAACUAGAGGUGAUCAUGGGUUGGGCUACCCUGCCCGACCCGACGGCCUGCCCGAAAAUGGGAGGGUUUGGGUAAAAAUAUAAGCUCGAAAUAUAGGUUUGGGCAAAAAAAACAAUGCCACUUUAAAAAAUGGGCCAGGCCUCGGGUAAGACUUUUUUGGCCCGGGCCCGGCCUGGCCUGAAUUAUAUAUUGAAUAUCUAUAUUUUAUUUUUAAUCAAAUAUACUUUUUAUUAAAUAUAUUUUUUUUUGAACUUUUAAUCCGAAUUAUAUAUUAAAUAUAUAUUUUUAUUUUUAAUCAAAUAUGACCCGAGCCUAGAAAACGGGUCUAAAAUUUUAUCUGGACCCGACCUAGCCCAGCCCAUGAUCACCCCUGGCUACAACAAACAUUCAAUUUUAAUUUUCUAAAAAAAAAAAUAGAAAAUACAUGGAUCUCUUCUUCAUUUCAUUAUUGUAGCUAUUUCCAACAACUGCAUAAUUGAGAACUUUUGCUGUUAGACAGUAAACAUUAAAAAAAAUACAUAUUCAGACUAGAGUUAUACAAAAAGAGAGAAGUAGCUGACAUUUUUAUCGGAAACCAUAGGCUUACAGGGAAGACAAUAAUUGGAAAGACUGUCUCAUUGUUGAAUAUUCUUGCUUGGUUUUCCCCUAGAAUUUACAAUUUUUAAAGAAAUGGAGGAGAAAGUAAGUAGAAGUGGAGUUUGCUUCAGUUUUGCAAACUCAAAAAUUUCUCUAGAUUUUUCUUAACAAAACCCCAACCUUCAACUUCAAAAUCAAACUCUACCAAAUGCGGUCUGGGAAGGGAAAAACAAUGGGGAUAAAAUAGAAAUGAUUAUUGAGCGUAAAUGAAAAAAAAAUUAGAAGGAAGAAGAAGAAGAGAAAACAAAGACGGUAGGUAGAGCAGCGAUAGUGGUUAUGGCACUGGUAGGGGUUAGCGACCUUAAAAAUGCCAUAGGUUUUGUUUGGCAAUUUUUUACUUUUAAUGGUUAGUUAAAGAAGAAUAAGACACUCUGCUCCUCAUGUCCAACGUGGCAAGUUAACUGGUCAUGUCAGCUAGUUAAUUAAUUAUGUUACCUGCCUUGUUAAGCCUGUAAUGAAAAAUGUUAGUGGGUGACAAUUUGUCACUUUUUGAUAAUGUGAGUGACUGAUUUAUUAUUUUUUUAAAGUUGAGCGACUGAGUUAAAAGUUGAGUGACUGUUAGUAUAUUUUACCUUCAAAUUUAUUGUCCAUUAUAUGAAUAAGCCCCACAAAAGUUUGAUUUCCCGGUGUUUUUAGAAUUGAUGGUUGAAUAAGUCAGAUUAUCAGUUCAAUAGAUCCAAUUGGUUAGGUUAAAAAAUGAUUAAAAAUAUGAAAAGUAAAAAAAAUUAAAAAAUCUGAUUUAAUCGAUUUUUCAGUUAUUUGGUUGGUCCAUACCUAUUUGCGAUUUAACUAAUCCAAUACUAUUUUUCAGACCUAUACCUAACUGAUUUUUGGUCAAACAGGUCAAUUCGGUUCAAUUCAAAGGUCACUGGGUUUCUGACUUGCUACGCGCAUGCGCAUUAAAACACUGAAUUUAUGAAAAUAUUUUUGAAUUCUAGUUUUACUACAAGCGUACAAUGUCAGUUAUAAUAUUUAGUGUUACAAUAAAACACCAAAGUAUUCCAAUGAUCCAACCUAAAGGAAGAGGCAAUUGAGCAAUGAUUAGCAUGCAUGCACAAUAAGUCUAAGUGGCUAUUAAUAUAAUUUUAUAGUACGUUGAUUUAUAAAAUAAGAUUUUGCAAGAAAAUUAAAUAUUCCACUCUAAGGACUAAAUUGCAAAAAAUGUAAAUUAACGGGACUGUCCAGCAAAUAACUAAUGGGGGUUGGUUAACUUCGAUGUGGUUCACCAAAUCUCAAAAUAAGGACAUAAAUCGCUUAUAUUAUCAAGUGACUCCAUUUUAUCUAUCGAUUCAUCGAUUUAGAUGAAUUAAAUCCAGUUUAUCUCUUGAUCUCGCCAGUUAAUCCAGGACUAACGAACGAGUGCGGGACAACAUUUCUCUCGGUCUCACUUUAUCUUGCUAUUCCCUUAAGGGCGUCACUACCUACAGUCUUAGUUCUAUUCAAAUUCAUCCAAUUUGUUACGAUUUAGUCAUUUGUCCAAAGAUUUUAGUUUAUCCACAUAUCCAUCAACCAACCUCCUUAAAGCUUUAGUUACUUAAAGUGAAGACAAUAAAUAUAACAAAGGAAAACAAGGUAACCAUGAAAGUAUAGUCUAAGAAAAAUAUGAAAGUUGAGAUUUUUAUACAAGAAAACUUAAAUAGCAUGAAACCAAAAGCAUUUAACAAGAAAAUAUUGGGUACCGCACUCUUUGGUAGUACCAUACCCUUUUUCCAAAAGGGUUUGAUACCCGAGUCGUUUUGCCCAUAAACUCUUCGGUACUACUCUUUUUUUUUUUUGUUAAGGUACCACACUUGACUUAUUGGAAUUUAUUUUUCUUUUCAUUUUUGAAAAAUAAUUGAAAUUAAUUUCUUAAAAAACUAUUUAAAAAUAUAAUAAAUUAAUUUCUAGAUCACAAAAUACUAAAAAAAUAUAUCUAUCACAAAAACUCAUAUGAAAAUUUUUUCAUACAAAAUUGUAAAUGCUUAUGAUGUGAGCAAUUUUGUAAUAUCUCAUUUGAGGCCAUGGAUCAAUCAUAAUUAAGUAACACAUGAUCAAAUAUUUUUUAAUUCAGAAAAUAAUAUAUUAAAAAAAGUUUUAAUAUAUUAAUUAAAUAAUCAUCAACCAAUAUUUAUUGUAUCAAUUAAUUUAAUAAUUAAAAAGAUUAGCCACCUAAACAUAUGUCAUCUAAACUCAACGUUUCACAUAUGUUCAAAUGAAUAUGUUGAAAUUGCUUUAAAAAUAUCAAUUAUAAACGAAAAUAAUACACACUCGAAUAAUUAUUAUUAUAAACGUAUAAAUAGAAUCCACAAAUGAUUUACAUAAGACGGGAACUCGAAUCUAAUAACUUAAAAUUCUAACAAAUUUUUUUCGGUGAAUUACAAGAAGAGGGCAGAGGCUCUAAUAAUAAUGCGACUUGAACUUAGGCCACACCUGAGGCAGUGAACACCCUGACCAUGAGGCUAACACAUGAGGUUCAACGUUAUCAUUAAACCAACUAAAAAAAAAAUUCUUAAAAGCAAAUACUAUCAUUAAUAGAAACUAUUAAUAAUAAUAUAAAAAUAUGGCGCAUAGUACAACUGAUAAAUAAGUCCUUACAAAUUGAUGCAUAAGUGUCAUGUCUGCAAAAUAAUAAAAUUACCGUAAUCGCAACACUAAAAGAAUUCAGAAACAUUAGAUUGGUGCAUUAACUUGAUCAAAUUGCUGAAAAUUACAUUCUACCCCUACCAUCAUCAGACCAACGAUUGCCAAGAGCCCUAAGAGACCCACUGUAUCAAUGAUGUACAAAAAAUCAAAUUGCGAAUGACCUAUCUUCCUUCUCAUCAUCAUCUCGAACUCUAAGUUUAUAAAUACUAUUAUUUACAAUUAGGAACAAUUAGCCAACCUAGAAAUUAAAUAUAGAAUAAAGUCAACAUAGAAGCCAACCCUUUAAAGAUAAACUUGUUGAACAAAAAUGUGCCUACUUGUGUUAUUAGGCAUUGAAAUUAUCAAUUGAAGGACCCCCAGUGCUCACCUGCCCUAAUUCCCUACAACAUUAUCUACCAAUUAAUUAUUAUAUGAAAUUACUUUAUUAUUAAGACUGCCAAAUAAAGGACAUAAAUUUCAAAGGCUAAUGUGACAAUGGGUCUUAAGUGUGAAACAUUCAAAACAAGUCAAAUAUGGAGUUGAGAAGCAACUCAUUUUUUCUUUCUUAAAAAAAUAAUAUUUUUUAAUUUUCUUAUCUGAAAUUCACCAAAUUCUAAGGUCUCCAUUAAAAAAAUAUAUUUAUUUUUGUUAAAUUUAAUAAUUUUAAACAUAAAUCUAAUUAUAAGUUCUGAUCGUAUCUGCUUUUAUUGACACAAUGCCUAGAACAACCCAUAGCCCCUAACCCAUAAAUAGGAGGAUAAUGCGCUUUAGCGCAUUUAAAUUCACGUCCUCUCGUAUUAACAAUAAUACACAUACCAAUCUAACUAAGACUCAGUCGACAAUUCACUUGUAUAAUCUCAUAUAUGAAAUUUUAUAAAUUUUAUUGUCCAAUAUAAACACACAAAAAAAAAAAAGCAUGGGAUAUGACACAUAUAUAACUCAACAUUGAGUGAAAGAUUGCAACUCUAUAAUAUAUGGUCAGUCCAAAAUGUUGUCUUUAGAAAACUUAUAAUUUCAGCCAUUAAAAGAAAACCUAGUAGUUGUUAUGCAUUGACAAAAGUAACCUAAUUUUUUUUUUAAAAAAGUAGGGUUAUUAUUAAAAUUUUAUAUAUUAAGUAAACACUUUCGCAUUGAAUUGAUAUUAUAAGUAAAUUUAUAUUAAUUUAAUUUAAAAAAAUAAAAAAAUAAAUCAUUAAUCAAAAUUCAGAUUAAAUUAUAGGAUUCAUAUCUGAUUGUUUUGACACAAUACUUAGAACUACCCAUAGCUCAUCCUUAACCCAUAAAUAGGAGGAUAAUGUACUUUAGCGCACUCGAUGUUCAUAUCAAUUGAGGUAAGAUUCAAUCGACAAAAUAUUAAAUUUAAUUAGUCAAAAAAUUUUAUCGGUUCAAAUAUAUUAAAAUAUUAAUAGCUGUAUUUAUUAAUUAAAUAAUCUUAUAUCUAAUUCUAUCCACGAACCAUUCUAAUUUUCUUGUGGCCAAAUUGAGUUCAGACGUAAGAUUUUUUAUUUUUGUUUAGUCGGCUCAAUUUGUACGGAUCGAUGAUUGCUUUCAACUUGAAGAAGGAAAAUAUAUUUGAUUAUAACCUAAUUGUUUGAUUAUUAAUUAAUUAAUUGCCAAUUGUUAGUAUAAAAUAUGAUUAAUAAGGUUUUAUUAAUUUAAUAUUUGUACGAUUAAAAAAAAUCUCUGUCGUAUGGUCUUUUCUAUUCGCACCACUUGUCCCAAUCGAAAGCUCUCUUUCUUCUUUAAUCCAAUGUAUGUUCUUCUACUCAUCGAUAGGUACUCUGAUCCAUUAUACCAAUCGUCAAAUUAUCACACGGAGCUCGCUAGCUAAACUUAAAAAAAAUAAAAUAAUAGUCUUGUAAUCUAAAUGAAAACUUUCGAAUAAUUUAAUAACUAUUUUAUAACUUUUCUAAAGUUAAAUGGGCAAAAUACAAAUUUACUAAUAGUUUAGUGACAUACGAUGAAAUUUACCCUUUUUUUUACAUCGGUGUAUGUAUAUUUUUGUAUAAUUAAUAGUUUAACGAUUCAACCGUAAUGUUUAAUAUUUCAUUCAUAUAGAUCAUAUAAGUCAAGUUUAGCAUCAAGUUAAAAUUUUAGAUGUUCGAUAAAUAUUAAUAUAUAUAUAUGCAGUAUCUUAGAUCGGUAUGAUAAAAAUAUCAGAUCGAUUCAGAAAUUUACAUGCAUAACAAGUAUAAUUAUAUUAAUAAAUUCAACAAGUUGAUUAUUAAAUUAUUAAUCGUACAAAAAUAUACAGCUUUACACCGAUAUAACCCGAUUAUUAAAUAUCUUCUUAAAAUUUGAAAAUUUCAUAUAAAAAUGAUAAAAUAUGUAAUUUUUUAGAAAAUAUUUUUCUUUCCUUGAAUUUUAAUUUGUUAUUUUUUAGAUAUGAUACGAGUUGGAGCAGUGAUUGAUAAUUCCAAAGCCACAUCCAAAUUACUCAUGAUCGUUUCAUAUAAGGACAUUUUUGUCUUUCACUAUUAUAAAGGGCCUAAAUGAAAAAAAAAGAUUUUAGGGAAGGCCGAGAGCCUUGCCAGCCCCCUAGAUCUGUCCUUGCCUAAAUUACUUAUAAUUUUAAUGUUUAAAAUAAAAAAAUUAUUACAUGCUUAAAGAUCGAGAUAAGACUCAAUUGAUUUUUCAUGUGUUAUUAAUAUAUAUUUAAAAUUUCACCCUACAAUGAAUAUGCUAUUAUAUCUUAUAUUAUAUUUAAAUUUUUGAUUGAGUUGAUAUCACGAGUUAAUCGAACAUCAGUUUUGAUACUUUAAACCUAACUUUUAUUUUUUUAUAAUGACAUUUAAAAUUAAAAUAUAAUUAUUAAAUUAAGUUAUACAACCUAAUUAAUAAUUUUAAAACUUAUAUUUGCAUAUAAAUAUUUAUAUAGAUGUAUCUGAGAUAUAUUUAUAUAUAUAAUUUAUUAAGAAACUAAAAAUUAAACUAUGAAUAUAUAUAUAUGAAAAAUAUUUAAAAACAUCGAUAAACUGAAAACAAUAUACCGGUACGCUUGUAACUACCUUCAUUUGAACUUAAGACACUAAAAUCGUAAAAUUUUAAUUUUAUCAUCCCAUAUCGUCAAUACGUCAUAUCGAUCAUAUUUAUUUUUUUACAAAAUAUAUAAAACUACUCAUAACUCAUUCCCAACCCAUAAAUAUGAAAAUAAUGCGCUUCAGCACACCCGAACUCACGUCUUCUUGUAUUGACAAUGAUAUCCAUACCAAUCGAAUUAAGACUUAACCGACACGUUAUAUUCUAAUAUUUAUUUAAAUAUAUAUCAAAAUCAUGCAAUAAUGGAUAGAACAAAUGGUUCUAUCGAUUAAGAUAGUUUGUAGAUAAGGUGUUAUAGUGUGAAUUAAGUGUAUAAUUAAGAAAAAAUUGCUUUUACUUUAUUGUAUUGUGGGGACAAAAUGAAAAUUUUAUUGCCAUUCCUUGACUUGCAAUUUUCGCCUACUUGCUAUGAUUACGCCAUAAAUUCUCACAUAUUUAAGUAUCAUUUAAUCAAUCUUUUUCGGGUUUAAAAAAUCCGCAGUGGUUAAAAUCUGCGAUAAGUUCCUGUAUAGAUUUCAAAGUUCAGAUUCAAUUUCUAAAACGGUUAUUCUUUUUAAAUCUGUUAGCAUGAUAUUUUGAAAAAAAAAAAACUUAUUCAAUGAGUAUGUAACUAAAAAAACGACCUUGUUAAAAUUUAACAGUAUUAAAAGUUUAAAACUGUAUAAUUUUUUUUGGUUAAAAUUUGUCAUUAAUAUAUUGAUGCAAUUAUUCCAACUUAUUGGAAGCAAAACAUUACCAACUAAAUAAGCAUAUUUGAUAAAUAAAUAAAUUUUAAAAUAAAUUGUUAAGAUUGGAUUAAAAUUUAAAAUUAAAAUUAUAAGAAAAUUUAAUUUUUAAAUUUUUUAAUCAUAUCUGCUCUUUUUGACAUAAUAAUUAAAAUUACUCAUAGCCUCUUCUCAACCCAUAAAUAAGAAAAUAAUAAGCUUCAACAUACUCGAACUCACGUCUUCUUACAUUAGCAUCAAUACCCAUACCAAUCGAACCAAGACUCAAUCGGUAAAUUUUUUAUUUUUUAAUUACCCAUCAUUAAGAAUGCUUUGGAAGAAUUUACUUAGAUUAAUCCACUAAUACCCCUUCCUCCAAUUUUUUUUUUAAAAUUGAUGAAAUCGUAAAUUAAUACAUAAUAAAUUAAUGUUUUGAUCUCUCAAAAACUGUUUCCUCGUAAAAUUUUUUUCCUACUCCUACUAAACGAAACAUAAAUUUUAUUUUAAUAUUUUUAAAUAAUCUCAUUACAGAUUUUGAUCAUAUCUAUUCUUUCUGACACAAAGCCUAGAACUACCGAUAACCUCACCCCAACCCAUAAAUAGCAAGAUAAUACACUUCAACGCACUCACGUCUCCUUUCAUUGAUAACAAUAUAUAUACCAAUCGAGCUAAAAGUCAAUCGACUAAAUUUUUUAAUUUUUAAUUACCCAUCAUUAAGCAUGUUUUUGAAGAAUUUACACACAUUAAUCCAAAAAAAAAAUCCCCGACAAAGAGCUGUUAAUCUAACGUUCAAAUUUAGAGCAAAACAAAACAAAAAUAAAGCUUAAGCAAAUAAUUUCACAUUUUUUCAGAAACAUUAUAAUUGCUAAAAUACCCCCAUCCAUAUAAAGACAAAAAUGAACGGCUUUUAAUCACCGUCCGAUUGCUAAAUCAUCAUAAACAAAACACGUGUACGGUCCUGAUGCUAUAUCCGUAUCUAAAUCUGAAUCCAAGAUUAAAGAAAGAAAAAAACACGAAAAAACGGUCGAGUUGGUGGGUGUCGUUGGAUUAAAUUUCUAACCCACUUUUCAUUAUUUUCAAUCCCCCACUUACCCCCCUCUUCCCCCCUAUAAAACAGCGUUUAAAUCCUCAAAAUAUUCAUUUCUUCGAUAAAUUUUCAUCUCUGUUUUGUUCCAAGCUCUGGGUUAUGGCUUCCCAGGCUUUUUAUCUUCUUGUUUCAAUCAUUGUUCUCUUAUCCGCCAUUGUUGUCUCAGGUAUGAACUUUUAAAGCUUCAAAAAAGGAAGCUCCUUUCUUUUCUUUUCUUAAUGUUUGAAUACAAGCCUAAUAAGUCGAGUUCGUGUUUUCCGAAAUUUUAAAAUUUCAGUUGUAACGAAAUGUGAGAACUCAAUAACAAUUGUACGUAGAUUUCUAUUCGAAAAAGUAUAGGGAUUAAAUUUAUAACUUUUGCAAAGUAUAAGGACUAAUAGCAGAAUUUAACCUUUUUUAUUACAGGUUCGGGUUCGGUCGGGAUUAACUACGGUCGUGUAGCAAACAACUUACCGUCACCGGAAAAAGUCGUGGAACUAUUGAAAUCACAGGGAAUAAACAAAGUGAAGCUUUACGAUACCGGCGCGACGGUUUUGACGGCGUUAGCGGAUUCCGGUAUAACCGUGGUCGUCGCACUUCCUAAUGAACUACUUUCAUCCACCGCCGCUGAUCAGUCGUUUGCCGACAACUGGGUUGAAGCAAACAUAACAAAGUUUUAUCCAAAGACAAAAAUCGAAGCCAUAGCUGUCGGUAACGAAGUGUUUGUCGAUCCGGCCAACACGACCAAAUACCUCGUACCGGCGAUGAAGAACAUCCACGCUUCGUUAGUUAAAUCCAAGCUUGAUUCCGCCAUUAAAAUCUCUUCUCCAAUAGCUUUCAGUGCUUUGAAAACCUCGUACCCUUCAUCGGCCGGUUCGUUUAAGCCGGAAUUGAUUGAACCGGUUAUUAAACCCAUGUUGGAUUUUUUGAAACAAACCGGGUCUUACUUAAUGGUUAAUGCGUACCCGUUUUUUGCUUAUACGGCUAAUUCGGAUCAAAUCUCACUUGAUUAUGCUUUGUUUAAGGAAAACCCGGGUGUAGUGGAUUCGGGUAACGGGUUGAAAUAUUCUAGCCUUUUCGAAGCUCAAAUCGACGCCGUUUUUGCAGCUAUGUCGGCUAUUCAAUACGACGACGUAAAGAUGAUUGUGACCGAAACGGGUUGGCCUUCAAUGGGAGAUCAAGACGAAAAAGGUGCUAGUGAAUCCAAUGCGGCGUCGUAUAAUGGUAAUUUAGUACGGAAAGUAUUGACUGGUAAUGGGACCCCUUUAAGACCUCAAGAUCCACUUAACGUUUAUUUAUUUGCUUUAUUUAAUGAGAAUCAAAAACCCGGUCCAACUUCCGAAAGGAAUUACGGUUUAUUUUACCCUAAUGAACAAAAGGUAUAUACCAUACCAUUAACCAAAGAGGAGGUGAAAACCGGUGAGUCAACGCCGGUCAACACCAACACGAGUCCGGCUCCUGUAGCCGGAGAAGUAUCGAAGGCAAAAGUAGGUCAGACGUGGUGCGUUGCGAACGAGAAAGCCGAUGAGAAGAAGUUACAAGCGGCGUUGGAUUAUGCUUGCGGAGAGGGUGAGGCUGAUUGUAGCCCUAUUCAACCUGGCGCGACGUGCUAUAACCCGAACACACUCGAAGCACAUGCUUCAUACGCUUUCAAUAGUUAUUAUCAGAAGAACACACGUGCGACUGGCACAUGCGAAUUCGAUGGUGCGGCUUAUGUGGUCACCCAACGUCCUAGUAUGUUAUUCUUUUCUCAUAAUUUUUUCUCACUCGAUUCGACUUUUAAACACCUCUAAUUUCUUUAUUUAUUUUUUAAUUGCAGCAUAUGGGAAUUGUGAGUUUCCAACAGGGCAUUGAAGUGGAAAAACAAAGGGGAAAAGAUUUGAAAUUUUUUUGCAAAUUUUCUUCUUUGUAUCUAAUAUUAAUUAAUUAUUAAUUUAUUAUUAUAUAGAAGGGAUAGGUGGAGUCGUUAUUAGUAGAUUGUUGAUUUUACCUUAUAAUUUGUCUGUCCUGUUUGUAUAUUUGUUACAAUAUUCAUAUGGGGAAGACAACUUUUUAUUAUAUGUUUAGCUUUUAUUGAAGUUAUUUAACUGCCAACGAGCUUCAACUAAAGAUUGAAGACAUAGUACAAUAGAUUUAUAUGAGACUACUAAUAUUAAUUACAAAUCCCGGCCAAGAUGACCUUAUUUGAAAGUAAUAUUAUUAAAAGAGAUAAAUACGAACUCUGAUCAAGUUUAAGUCAACAAUGGAUGAUAAAUAGAUUAUAGAUCUUCAAUUAGAGACUUAAACCUGAACCGCUCAACUUUUGCAGUGUUCGUUGGUCUAAACGUUGAGCCAUUUCAGUGGUCAAAUAAUUCUUCCAGUCUCCAACCUUCCCUUUCCGAAAGAAAAUGUUAUUUUCCAUCUCCAAAUUUCCUUGCCCUUCACAAUGUUUCCCGGUUUUAUUUACUUCCAAGCCACUUAAAUUCUCGAAACUGCACAGCUGUACAAUGUUUUCAGGCACCCCUUGCUGUUGUUCCUCUGACGAGAAAGGAUAACCCAUAAACUCUGCAAUUUUCUUAAGAUACAAAACAGUAUCUUCAACCAGUUCUUCAUAUUUCAAGAACAUUAACUUGUCUGGAUGUUCCAAACUUGCUUUCCAGUACUCCAAAACAUGGUCCCAAUAAGGGCCGAACGGGCUUACACCUUCAUAAAACAAUUCGAACGCUUCAUCAAGUUGAAUGGGUUGAGCAUUUUGGGAUUUGCAGUGCCGUGCAAUGAAAUGAUACAAUGAAACAAAUGUAUCUUUGGGGUCCCUGCAAAUGUAAAUAAUUUUACAACCAGAAUCAAUUAUAGAUCUGGGUAAGAAGGAAUAAGGAAGAUGAGUGGCUAAAAGAGGAAUUCCAAGAUGUAGAUUAGUGGAAAACUGGGAAUGAUCGAACUCCAAGAAAGGCACAACAUCAUGAGGCAGCGUGUAAAGUAAAGGGGUGGUGGAAUCAUUGUAUGAAGUUCUUGUAAUAGUGGCAAAAGUGAGGGAUUUUAACCAGCCUGUGCCUGUUCUUAGAGAGCUACAAAGGAUGACAUCAGUGGGUUGAGCCUGGAAUUGUUGUUGAGCCGACAACGCUCCUUGUAAAAAAGACGGGGAGAUCCAAAAACCUUGAUAUUGAUAAUAAUCUUCAAGAAAACCCCAACGAUUCUCUUUAGGGUGAGUAGAUAUCAUCUCUUUGAAAGAUUUUUGAAGCACAUCAUCAUUUUGUUUCUCAAGAUGGGAUUCCAUGAGGGACAGGCUAAUGAGUGCAAAUACUAUAUUUCAAGGGUUGCUUUGUAAAUAGGCUGCCACUCUUCUUUUUCUUUUAUAGGGAGGCAGUCAGUGCCGCAGUGGGAUGGAAUGAUAUUCUUUAAUAUAUAAAGAAAAAGGAAAAGAUAAACAAUCAACAAAAAUGAAAUUGCGCAGUCUGCACGCUGUCGCCUACUUAAUACCCAUUUGUAAGGACUUGAAGAUAGGGCAGAGCUGGUCGACCCAUCCAUGCUUCACCUUCCACUUACAUAGUAGGGGCAUAGUUGUCUUUAUGGAUCGAAAAUUUAAAAAUAUGUUGAUGUGCUCCAAUUUAAAAAGAAGAACAUCACUAUCUCAGUUUCCCCAGUCAACAAAAAUGAAAUUGCGCAGUCUGCACGUUGUUGCAUUCUUCUCCAUUGAUUCUCCAAGAUGCCUCACCUUCAACUCUGAUAGUAGGCCAUAGUAAGAUCCAUUUCCAAAAUUAUUAACAAACCGAAAACUAAAAAAACGUGCUGAUGGUAGGCUAAUUUAUCAAAAAAAGCUAAUUUUUUAAAAAAAUUAUCGAAAUAGGCCGGUUUUUUAAUUAUUUACCGGAAUGGGCCAUUUUCCGGGAAAUCGCGUCCACGUCAGCGCGAUGUCAGGGUACGUGACAGGACAUCGCGUCCACGUCAGCGCGACCUGCUGACGUGGACGCGAUGUGGCCGCGCGCGUGAACAGUGCCCAACGGUCAAAAAAUUGACCGUUGCCCCCCCCCAACGGUAAUUUUUUUUUUUACUAUAUAAACCCCCCACCCCUUUUAUUUUCACAAAAAAAUUCAAUAUCAAUAUCCUUCAAAAAUUCUCUCAAUUCCGUUCAAAAAUUCUCUCAAAUUCCUUUCAAAAUUCUCUCAAAUUCCUUCUAAAAUCCUCUCAAUUUCCUUCAAAAAAUCUCCAAAUCCAUAUUAAAUUUCUUUUUUCAUUAAAUUUCAUUAUUUUAAGAAAAUUUUAAAAUUUUUUAUUUUUUAAAAUAAUUUUAAAAUUUUUAAUAUUUUCAACAAUGGCCGGAUCAUUGAUUCGUCUUGAUAGGAAUCACAUCUCGGUGGAGCAAAUGAAAAUGGUAAGUAUUAAAUUUAAAUUUUAAAUUUUAUUUAAGAUAUUUUAAUUUAUGUAUUUUUAGAUAUUUAUUAAUUUAUUUUUUCUUAUAAAAGGCUGAAGAUCGGGUAUUGGAAUGCAAUAUUCGGAAUAUGCAUGCUCCUCCAUCACCGUUAGUAGAGAACUACCUGCGGGAAGCGGGAUUUUGGCACGUGGCGACGGUAGGCCGGGGAUGCAAGUUGGAGACGAAACUGAUCAGUGCGUUGAUCGAGAGGUGGAGACCUGAGACGCACACAUUUCAUCUUCCAUGUGGAGAGUGCACUAUCACUCUAGAAGAUGUCCAUCUGCAUUUGGGAUUGCCGGUGGACGGGCACCUAGUCACUUGGUCUGCCCAAUCUAACAAUUGGGGAGCGGUGUGCUACGAGCUUUUGGGCGCCGUUCCGGAUAAAAUGGAUGGAGGUAAGGUGAAGAUGGGCUGGUUACGUGCCACCUUCCCCGGUCUGAAUGAAAAUUCAACCGAAAUUGAACGAAUCCGAUAUGCUCGAUCAUACAUUCUUCAAAUAAUUGGAGGCUAUCUCAUGGCCGACACGUCACGGAGUCGUGUACAUCUAAGGUGGCUACUAAAACUCGUUGAUUUUAGAGCAGCCGGUGAAUUUAGUUGGGGGUCUGCCGUUUUGGCAACAUUAUAUCGGGAGAUGUACGGGGCGACCAAACCGAUGAGAGCAAAAAUCGGAGGAUGCCUGUCACUACUGCAAUCAUGGGCACGGUUUCGCUUUCCAUUUCUACGUCCUCGAGUGAACCACCCAUAUACAUUCCCACUCGUAACGAGGUAAAUUUUAUAUUACAUUUUGAAAUUGUUAUGUAGAUUUUGUAAGAAUAAAAGUAUGCUAAAAAUUUAUUUAAUUAGGUGGAACCAUCCGGCGAGUUAUCGUGGAUUACCGUCUGAACUUGAAGAUAUACGGCUUCUAUUGGACCAACGGUCGGAAGCAGAAGUAAGUAUUACAUUUAGAAUUGUUUGGCACUCAGAUAAUUUUUUUUUUGUAAUUUUAAAAAAUUGAUAUUUCUUUUUUUUAAUUUUUUUUAGAUUAAAAAAUUAAUGAGUAUAGUAAAAUAAUAAAAAAUUAUUUAAAAUUAUUUUUUAGCACUUAAUUAUAAAAUGUUAUAAAAUAGUCAUUUAAUUAUGUCUUUUUGAAUCAUCUGUUUCUGAAAAAAAAAGUUACAAAAUUGUCAUUCAAUUAUUCAAAUUUGGCUUCUUUUUUGUUGUUGUUGUUGCUACAUACCUCAAAAUUCAAGAUAAUUGAGUGACCAAAAAAUAAUACUAAUAGCUGAAAGAUCAUUUCGUAAGUUUUUAUAAUUAAAUAGUAAAAAAAUCAUAGUUAAGUGACUACUAAUGUAAUAUAAUCUAGAUAUAAAAAUAUGAAAAAUAAUUAUUAUAUUUUAUGUAUAACUUCUAAAUUGAAAUAACGGAAAAUUAUUUUUUAAAAAUAGAAUUGCAUUAAUAUUAACUUCGAACAUUUAAAAAUGAAUAGAAGAUUAUUGCAUGUAUAAGUUUUGUAUGUGCAAAUUGUAUUUCUUUUUCUUUUUUUAUCAUGGUCGUUUUGUAUAUGCUAACAAUUCUAAAAUGCAACAGGAUUAAAAACCUCAAAAGGUAAUUUUAUAAUAUGACAAAAAUUUAACAAAAUAAAAAAAUAGAAAUUGUUUUGUAAAAAGAUAUGAAAUAUAGUGUAGCAUUAAGUUGUUAGUUAAAAGAGGAAAGAAUUCCACAUUAUCUAGGAAUAAACUGUAAACUUAUUCAUUUUUUUUUGAAUGGCAGUUCCAAAAAAACGUACUUCUACAUCAAAAAAGCGUAUUCGAAAAAAUGUUUGGAAAAAGAAAGGAUAUUGGGCGGCCUUGAAAGCUUUUUCAUUAGCCAAAUCUCUUUCUACGGGGAAUUCAAAAAGUUUUUUUGUACGCCAAAUAAAUUUGGAGUAAUCUGAAUUGGUUUAACUCGAAUAAGAUACAAAGGUUUUACUUUUUUGAAUUUUUGAAUAUCUUUUUUUUCAUUUCCGUGGGGGGGGGGAUUCUUAUUUUCCCCAUCGCCCAUUUGUAUUUGUUAUGUUAGGGUUAUAAUAAUUUGUUAUUUUUAUAAUAUUCAAUUUUUUAAUAAUUUAAAUAAUAGAAUAAUCAUUUUUUCUAUUUAUACUAUAGCGAAUCGCGGAGCACAUAUAUAUAAGAGCUUUAACUGGGUUGUCGAAACUAACCCAUUUAGUUUCAAUUUUGUAACUUUAUGNNNNNNNNNNNNNNNNNNNNNNNNNNNNNNNNNNNNNNNNNNNNNNNNNNNNNNNNNNNNNNNNNNNNNNNNNNNNNNNNNNNNNNNNNNNNNNNNNNNNAGUUGUUAUUUAUCAAUAAAAAUUAAAUGCUUCCUAACAAAUUUGACAUUUUACAUUGAAUUGACCCCUUCACCUUCAAUCUCGACGAUUGACUAAAAAUGGGUUAUUAUGAUUUCGAGCAAGCCGCUAUGGUGAAAUCGGUAGACACGCUGCUCUUAGGAAGCAGAAUCUAUAUAAACAUAUAUCUUACAUCUCACGUUGUUUAAGAAAAUAAGGUAAAUGAGACUUUGGGUCUACAUAAAGAUAUGUUUUGUAAGUUUUAUUUCCACAUUAAUUGGUGGCACAAAAAAAAAUAGUGUUGCCACUUUGGGUCUUUAUAUUGACUUAUUCUCAUAAAUUUUCAAUAAAUUGCAUCAACAUCAGUGCGUUUUUGCAUGACACGAGGAAAAACAUGUCCUUGUCAAUGCGUUUUUGGGUUUUCAAUCUAUAUCUAUAAUUAUUUUUAGAAGCAACCCAUUUCCAUAAAGAAUUUCAGAAAUGGGCCUUUAUUGGUACUACUCCUCAGAUAGCACUGCCCAACUUCAUUUGAAGCCCUUGCGAAUAUAGGAGUUUAUUUUUUUAUAUUAUAACAUAAGGAUGAGUAAAAUUUGAUUUGAUCAAAAAAAUCAAUAAAAAAUUCAAAUUUUGCUUUAAAUAAUUCGAGUUAUUUGGAUUAACUCGAAUAAAAAAAUCAAAAUUUUUAAUUUAACUCAACUAUGAAAUACACAAUUCAAGUUAUUACGUCAUUUUGAUAAAUAUUUAUCUUUUUUAAAGUUAAAAGUCCAAACUAUUAUAUUUUUCAUAUAGUUAAAUAAUAUUGUAGCUUUUUUACCUGGGUAAUAUAAAAUAAAUAAUUAAAUACCAUAAUGGUAUGCCAAUACAAUUAUUUACUAAAGUGGUAUGUUUGCAACAGUGUUAGGGGUGGAGAGCAUGGAAAAUGCUGCAACAUGUUUUUUUUUUGACUUAAUCAUCAAAACAUCAUUACAAUAUGAUAUGGGAUAAAAAUAUAUAUUUUAAGGGUGGAAGGUGUGAGAGAUGUGGCACCAAUAUUCAAGUUAUGAAAAAACUUAGUAAAAAAAGAUCAUAUACGAUCAUUUAAUACAAAAUAAAUUUAUGGGGACCUGUAACGUGGUAGGUGGGGUAGAGGGAGAGAGAUGAGCGAAACCACUGACCAUUGUCCACCUGUGGCGGAAAUGACUAAUCGUUCACGAGUUGGGGAAAGAGAAAAAAUUUUGGGAAAGGAAACGAAUCGAGCUUGAAUCUAGGGUAUGUUCUUAGGGCUGUAAAUGAAUCGAGCUUGAACGAAUGAAUCUCUAUUUAUGUUCGUUUCUUUAUUUUUAAGCUUGUUUGUAUUCAGUUUGUAUUCGUUAAGACUUUCAAAAUGCUUGUUCGUGUUUGUUUAUUUAAAAUUAUGUGUAUUUAUAUUCGUUUGUUUAAGUUAAACGAACAUGUUCUUGAAUAUAUAAUGAACAUAUUCGCAAACAAUAUUCAUGAAUAUUAGCAAACAAACAAACAAUAAAUAAACAUAUAUAUAAUUUUUUAAAUAUAAAAUAAUCAAAUAUAAAUAUUAAUAAUUAUAUUGUAACUAAAAAAAUAAGCACACAAACCAUAAUAAUUUUAUUAAUUUAUAUCAAUGGAACAAUAAACAAGCUUUGAAUGAUUUAUUAAACGAGCUUUAAAUGAUCUAUUAAACAAGUUUCAGAUGAACAUGAACAAGCUUGUUUAGGAACAUAAAUGAAGACAAGCUUUGUUCGUGUUUAGUUCGUUUAAUAAAAGAGCCUUAAAAUAUUGUUCAUGUUCAUUUAUUUAGAUUAAUAAACGAACAUAAAUGAACAAAAACUGCAUUAUUCAUAAACUGUUCAUCAACUGCUCUGUUUAUUUUCAACCUUACUUCUUCUAUUAAUUAAUAUGUACUAAUUAGACUUGAUCAUGGGCUGAGCCACCUACCUAGGCUUCAAAGCCCGCUCAAAAAGUGGGAGGAUUUGGGUAAAAUAUAGGCCCCCAAAAAAUGGGCUUGGAAAAAAAUUAAGCCCAUUUUCUAAAAGCCCGAGCCUCAAGUAGGAUUUUUGGCCCUAGCCCAACUUGAAUCAGCUUAAACUUUCUGUUUUGUUGUUGUUUUGUUGUCAUUUCGCUAUUAUAUUACUACUAUUUUAGUAUUAUUGUUUGUAUAUUGUAUAACUCUUGUUUUAUUGUUACUUUUGCUACUAUUUUAGAGUAAUUUGCUUGCUAAGUUGCAACUAUCUUAGUGUUAUUUAAGUAUAAACACUUUUUUUUAAUAUUUUCAAUUUGUUGGGAAACAUUUUUUAAAACAUUUUUAGUUUUAUUUUAUGUAUUAUAUUUUUAAAAUUUAUUUUAUAUAAAAAAUAAUCUAAAAAAAUUAAUACUGGUGGGUUGGAUCAAGCUUGAGUUCAGCAUUUUAAUCUGGGUUGAGCUUUUUAUCGGGUUAGCUUUUUAGCUCGAAAAUGUCUACCAAACAAUUUUUUAGGUCAUCCCUAGGUGAUUCAAUACAUGGAUUCAAUUAACUGAAUUUAUCCAUUUUUAGAACCUACAAUUCAAUUAACCUUCGUGCUUUUUGUGUAUUUAUUUAUCAUUUGGUAUGCUUAACACACUUUUACCUAUUCACAAUAUAAUAAAUUGAACUAAUUAGUUUAAAAUUAAAUAACCUCGAAUCAAUCCUAUUUACAUUCUCCUUAACCAAUCGCACAUAUUUCUACAAGUUCGAACACAAACACAACACAUACAAAAAGUAACUAAAAAAACAUACUCCCCCCCCCCAACAAACUUUAUUCGGAGAUUACCCGAUUAGCUUGAAAAGUUCCUCUAGUUAUGUCGGGCGAUCUCCUCUUUGUUGCGAUAUGACAACUAUCUCGGACCUCUUCAUGCAAAAUCUCAAUUUCUUCGUGAAAAAUAAAACACAUAAUUAAAAAUAAAAAAUAAAAUUGAAAUCAAAAUAAAUCAUAUGGGGAAGACAAAUUUUUAUUAUAUGCUUAGUUUUUACUUCAAUGGCAAUUUAUUUUUAUACUAUUAUUUUAAUUUUAAUUUUUAAAAUAUAUAAUAUUUAGUACCAAGCAAAUAAAUUUAAUGAUUUAAAAACAAUAUUUCAGAAAAUUUUAAAAGACGAUAUCAUUAAAAUUACAAACUCUAAUUAAAACGACAUUAAAAGGGUAAAACGGUAAAUAGAUUAUUGAACCUUCAAUUAGAGACUUAAACCUGAACCGCUCAACUUUUGCAGUGUUCGUUGGUCUAAACGUUGAGCCAUUUCAGUGGUCAAAUAAUUCUUCCAGUCUCCAACCUUCCCCUUCCGGAAGAAAAUGUUAUUUUCCAUCUCCCAAUUUCCUUGCCCUCGACAAUGUCUCCCGGUUUUAUUUACUUCCAAGCCACUUAAAUUGUCGAAACUGCACAGCUGUACAAUGUUUUCAGGCACCCCUUGUUGUUGUUCCUCUGACGAGAAAGGAUAACCCAUAAACUCUGCUGUUUUCUUAAGAUACAAAACAGUAUCUUCAACCAGUUCUUCAUAUUUCAAGAACAUUAACUUGUCUGGAUGUUCCAAACUUGCUUUCCAGUACCCCAAAACAUGGUCCCAAUAAGGCCCAUACGGACUUACACCUUCAUAAAACAAUUCGAACGCUUCAUCAAGUUGAAUGGGUUGAGCAUUUUGGGAUUUGCAGUGCCGUGCAAUGAAAUGAUACAAUGAAACAAAUGUAUCUUUGGGGUCCCUGCAAAUGUAAAUAAUUUUACAACCAGAAUCAAUUAUAGAUCUGGGUAAGAAGGAAUAAGGAAGAUGAGUGGCUAAAAGAGGAAUUCCAAGAUGUCGAUUAGUGGAAAACUGGGCAUGAUCGAACUCCAUGAAAGGCACAACAUCAUGAGGCAGCUUGGAAAGUAAAGGGGUGGUGGAAUCAUUGUAUGAAGUUCUUGUAAUAGCGGCGAAAGUGAGGGAUUUUAACCAGGCUGUGCCUGUUCUUGGAGAGCUACAAAGGAUGAUAUCAGUUGGUUGAGCCUGGAAUUGUUGUUGAGCCGACAAUGCUCCUUGUAGAAAAGGCGGGGUGAACCAAAAACCUUGAUAUUGAUAUUGAUCUUCAGGAAAACCCCAACAAUUCUCUUUAGGGAGAGUAGAUAUCAUCUCUUUCAAAUAUUUUUGAAGCACAUCUCUAUUUUGUUUCUCAAGAUGGGAUUCCAUGAGGGACAGGCUAAUGAGUGCAAGUACGAUAUUACAAGGAUGCCACUCUUCUUUCUCUUUUGUAAGGAGGCAGUGGGAUGGAAUGAUAUUUUUUAAUAUAUAAAGAAAUACUAAAAUGAAAAUAUAAAGAAAAAGGAAAAGAUAAACAUCAUUAUCUGAAUUAUUUCCCCAAUCAACAAAAAAGAAAUUGAAAAGUGUGCCAUCCAUGCAGCACCUUCCACUUAGAUAGUAGGGGCAUAGUACCAAUGAUGGUCAAUUUCUAAAAUUAUUUAUGGAAAUGGACUCCUCCAAAAAUAAUUAUUGUUAUGGAUUGAAAAUUUAAAAAUAAGUUGAUAGACCUGCUCCAAGCUAAAUUUUUAAUAAAGUUUAUUUUUUAAAAUAUUAUAAAAAAAUCAACUUUUUUUAAAUUUACGAGACUCAAAGUGGCAACACCUUUAUUUUAAAUUUUUUGGUGCCACCAAUUAAUAUGAAAAAUAAAACUUACAAAAGAAAUUUUUAUAUAGACCCAUAGUUUCAUUUUACUUGUUUUCUUAGUAAUGUGGGAUGUAAGAUAUGUGUAUAUAUAAACUCAUGAAUAUGUUUGCAGCUUGUUCCUAGACAAUGUGGGAUUCCAUCAUAUUUUAACUAACAAUAUAAGAUUAAAGGCUACAUUAUAUUUUAUAUUCCAUCAUUUGAAGGCCUUGCGAAUAUAAGAUUUUAUUGAAGAUUGGGCAGAGCUGAUCUGACCCAUCCUUUCAAUUGUACACCCGAUGCAUCAUACUCAGAUAGUACUGCCCAACUUCAUUUGAAGGAUUUGUGAAUAUAAGCGUUUAUUUUUUUUUAAAAAUUAUAUUAUAAUAUCAGAGGGAGUAAAAUUCGAUUUGAUUAAAAAAAUUGAUAAAAGAUUUAAAUUUUGAAUUAAAUGAUUUGAGUUAUUCGGAUCAACUCGAAAAAAAUUAAAUUUUUUGAUUUAACUCAAAUAUGAAUUACACAAUUCGAGUUACUACGUUGUUUUGAUAAAUGUUUAUCUUUUCUAAGGUUAAAAGUAAAAAACUAUUGAGUUAAAAGGUAAAACUACAUUAUUUUAAUAAAAGUUUACCCAUUAACUUAAAAGGUAAAAUCAUUAUAUUAUUAUGUAGUUAAAUAAUAUUGUGGGUAUGCUUGAUUCUUUUUCAAAGGUUGAAGUCAAAUGGGUCGGAUGGUCUAGAAAUAAGGCCACAGAUUAUCUUAGUAUGAUAGUUCUAGCUAAGAAUUGUAAUGUGUCAUUUGAAUGGGAUUAUCCGAGCGAUAUCCACAAUAUUGUAAUUAUUGAUUCUUGUUAAUUGAGGUUGUGGCUUUCGAGCCGUUUUCUUUAAAAAAAAAUAUUGUGGCCUUUUUACUUGGGUAAUAUAAAAUAAAUAAUUAAAUACCAUAAUGGUAUGCCAAUAUUAUUAUUUACCAAAAUGAUAUGUUUGCAAAAGUGAUGGGUGUGGAGGGCAAGAAUGAGGCGGCACAAUUUUUUUUUUUUCUGACUUAAUCAUCGAAACAUCGUUAUAAAAUUAUAUGGGGUAAAAAAGUAUUUUUUAAGGGUGGAGGACGUGAGAGAGGCGGCACCAUUAUUCGGGAAAUAAAAAAACCUGAUGAAAAAAGACCAUAUACGGUCAUUAAAUACAAAAUAAAUUUAUGGGGAGUUGUAAUGUGGCAGGUGGGGUGGAGGGAGAGAGAUAGGCGAGGUUUUUUUUACAUAUAUAAUAUAAAAAUAUUUAAAAUGGAACACCACCUCGAUUAAUUAUGGAAAUGAGGUGUUUGGGGUGGUGGAGGGUGAUGCACCCUAAAUUUUGACACAAACAACUAACAGUUAAAAAAAUUUUAAAUGGUGCAGCCUUGUUGAUAGGCACCACCAAAAUAUUUUUCCCAUGCGAUUACAUGGGUUAAAUACGGGUUUGGGUGGUGGUGCCCGUAGGAAAGGCGAGACCAAUUGUUAUCCUAUUGUUUUGGGAUCUGUCACCGUGUUAUCCUAUCAUUUUGGUGCUGUAUUGAUGGUAGCAACAACAUUGCUUAUGACGAAUGAAUCAACAUACUGAAGUCUAACACAAUUUGGGCUUUUUGCAGUCUUGUAUGCUGUAAGUUUGUCACUGAUGUUAUAUCAUUUCAAAUCUUAAAACAAAAUCAAAGGAAAAGAAACAAACAAAAAAAAAGAAAAGAAAAACAGGAGGAAAGGAAAAACAUUAUUUGAAUUUAACCACCAAUCCAAAUUCUGACAUUUAGCAAAAAUAUUCUCUAACGCUUACACCAAGACUCAAGCACCAGACUAAAGGAUACACAAAAGUUUUACCAUUAAACCAGUAAGCUCAUUCUUGAUAUAAAUUCACAUAGAAUUAAAUUUAAGUCAAUAGCUUAGGAAUAGAGGUUAGUUUAAAUUAAAAUAGCAAAACUUCUAAAACUUGACUUGAGCCCUUGACCUCAAACACAUUAACCCUUGAAUCCAACCAUCAGAUACUCAAAAUUUUUGGGGCGUUACAAUUUGACACACUUGAAUUCAAGAGAAAAUUGUAGAAAUAAAAUUCUCUAAGGAGAUUACUCUAGAAAAUUUCUAGAGAUAUUUUUCUGAUUUACAAAUUGACCCAAAAGUUUAGAGAAAUUAUGAAAUUACCCCACUGGUAAUUUUUUUGAAUUUUUUAUUCGAAGUGAGCCCACACUCGGCAGACGUGAGCUCUAGGAUAGCAGAGAAGAUUACUCGGUCGAAGCGUUCAUCCUAAACAAAUAAAAAAGGUACAAUUUUGAUUAAGUAUUUAUUAUUUUAGAUAUUACAACCAAAAUCUUGUUUUGAAAAAUUUUUAAAACUUUGGUUUUUCGCUAACUUUAUUUUCCACUAUGUUUUUCAAACUGUGUUUCCAACAAGGUAAACUUAUGUACAUAAGUUUGCAAAUUUAAAUGGUUUUCUUAUAACUCUUAAGUUUUUCAGAAAUAGGCUAAGGUUUUUUUUUCAAUUAAAAAUAAACAAGUGUUUUUAAAAUGUCUGUUUUAUAAACCCGAUAGCUUACCAUGUUAUAUAUAGUGGGUUAAGGGGAAUAAAAAAAUAACACAAAAAAUUGGGUCAGGCGACACUGGUCUGACCGCCUACGGUGAACAUGACCGAACAAUCACGGAAUCACGGGGUCACCCCUUUUUCUUCUUUCUCAAGCUUGAAAUCUCCCCUUUUGACUCCCAUUUUUCAUGCUUCCUUGUCUCGAGUUACUAUUUUUUGUACAAACAAUGGUGUCACUUGACUUUCCCCCUCCACCCAUUAAAAACAAAUUUUUAAAACAUGUAUAUUCCCUGUAUUUUACCCAGUUGUUCUUCAUACUGAUGUCGUCGUAUAGGCUGACACCAUCAAUAAAAUAUUUGUUUUUUAAUAACCUUAUAAUGGCCUAAUGAUGGCAUCAUGAUUUUAGGGAUAAAGUUGGGUGGUGUCGCCACCUUCUCAAGCACUAGCUUGGGUUACUUUUCAAGCCAUACCAUUUUGGUAAAUAAUUUGGUGGGCGUACCAUUUAAGUUAUUAACUUUUUUUUGUAUUAUUGGGGUAAAAAAACCCAAAAUAAUACAAUUAACUAUCCAAUUAACAGUUUAUUUACAAAAAUAAUAUAAAAAAAUAGUUACAAAAAUGGGUCAAAGGAAAAUUAUUUACGAAAACGGGAUAUUUAUUUAAAAAAAAUCAAGGCAAUCAUGAGUUUUUUUAAAAAAUAAUAAAUUUUUUGGCACCGCCAUUGUGUCAGGUGGCAUAGUUAUGUGUUUUUUGAAAAAUACCCGAGAAAAUAUGCGAAUACUAGAGAACAAAAAUAUAUUUUUAAUGGUGUCAUCGGUGUGUCAAGUGGCAUCGAUGUGUUUAAAAAAAGUGGUCUGAAAUGAAAAAAAGAAAAAAAAAAGGUGUUAGGGGUCGAAGCCCGUAACUCUGUUUGGGUUCAAAGCGUCGUGACUUCAUUCGAUAAUUUGAACGGUGAGGCGGUGUGUUUAACUGCGGGGAACAACAUAUCUCCCACUGGUGAAGAUUCGGUAGUGCAAAAUGAAGAUCGAAGAAAGAGUAGUUCGAAGCUUUGGUCAUUAUUUUAGAAGAUUUGGAGCCGGCUAUUGGGAGAUCUGAACAGUAGAAGUCAACGAGAAGAAGAAAAUCUCUUCUUUGGUGUCAAAAUUGGCACGAAAGGCCACCAUAAACACCAAAAUCGGUGGCUAUUGAGUAUGUCAGCUGGGGUUUUCAAUUAAGGAGAAGAAGAGAAAGAAAAUAAAAUAAAAUAAAAAAUAGAAGCAUUCAACAUGAAAAGAAAAAGAAAGAAAAGAAAUAAAAGAAAAGAAAGUUAUGAAGCCCACGAUUUUAAUCCUAUUCAAGUUGUCAGUCAAAUUUUAAAUGAGCUGGAUUUUAUCAUGGAAGUUUGAACAACAAAAUAGAAGCAUUAAAAGUGUAACACCCCUAACCCGUAACCAUCGCCGAAAUAGGUUAAGAGGCAUUACCGGACUUGCAACUUAUUUCAGAACAGUAAUUCUUCAACAUUUAACUAAUAUCAUAUCAUUUCAGUAAUUAUCAAUCAUUCAUGAUUGAAAUUAAUUAUACACCAUUAUACAACAAAAUUAGCGUUCUAAACUCACUUGAUAUUUAUAAUUUCUUUCCAUACAUUAAUAUAGACAAUAAAAAAGUCAUUUACUUCAAUUUGGUCAUUUUUAACAUUUUUACAAAAUUACCCCUAAAGUUUUACUUUUAUUCAAUUUAGUCCCUGAACCUAAAACAUGUAAAUUAGCUAUUUUUAAAACAAAUUAGCUGAAUAUUCAGAUAUAUUUUUCCUCCUCCUCCACUCCAUUCCACAUCCUUGAUAUAUAUAUAUAAUGUCACUAUUUACUUGUAUACACAUAACAAGUUGUUCACUUGAUGUCAUAGUCACUAAAUUAAUUAUAUCUUAAGCUAAAGAACUCCAAACUGAAAUCCGCUAAUUUUAUCUGAAACUAGACUCACAUAUAUUAUUACGAUAAAAUUUUUAGAAUUUAUGGUUUAGCCAAUAAGUACAAUUUAUUCUUUAAAAUCAUCACUGUUCUGCUAUCUGACAGUUUUGCCCCUUCUUUACUAAAAAUUAAUUACCUCCUCGUACCGGAUUCGGAUAAUGUUCCGUUUGUUUCUAUUGAAAAUAGACUCAUCAAGAAUUUUAAACAUAUAAAUUAUAACCCAUAACUAUUUUUACAAAAUUUUUAAUGAUUUUCCAAAGUCAGAACAGGGGAACCCGAAAUCAUUUUGACCUUGUCUCACAAAUUUUAUUAUAUAUCAUAAUUUAAAAUUCCGUUGCUUACACUUUUUAUUCUAUGGAAGACUAGACUCGAUAAAAUUUAAUUUCAUAUUUUAUUAGACCUCUAAUUCAAUUUCUACGAUUUUUGGUGAAUUUUCAAAUUCAGACUACUGUUGCUGUCCAAAACUGUUUUAGUAUAAAAUGUUGAUAAUCAAAUUUAUAACACCCUCCUUUCCUUUCUCUACAAUAUUUUCCAUCACUUCCUCUUAUUUCCCUUUACUAACAUAUCAAGAACAUAGAAUCUUAUAUAAUAAAACUCUACUUUAACAUCAAUUUCAUACUUUUUCAAUAAUAUCAAACUAAAAAAUAUAUUGAAAUCUUGAUGUUCUUAAAAUUUUUCCCUUUAUAAUUUUUUAAAAUUCCAUCCUCGAGUCAUCACUUAAUUUGGUAAAAUUACAAUUUAGUCCCUCAUAAUUCUUCACCUAUUCAAUUUGGUCUUAAUUCAUCCAUUUUUCUUAUUUUACUAUAUCAAGAAUAAUAUCUUACUGUAGAAAUUUUUAGGAUAUUACAAAAAGUACUCAACCUAUAAUGGCAAAACCAUUUAAAAAAAAAACUUAUAAUUGUUUGAUGAAUGGGGAAAAUGGGUUGGUGUCGUCAGUGUGUCAAGUGGCACCGACAAGGACUAUUCAAAACACACAUUUUCGUAAAUAAUUUUUCUCUAACCUAUUUUCGUAAUUAAUUAUUUUUAUAUUAUUUUUGUAAAAAAAAUCUCAAUUAACUUAUGACAUCAAUUUAAUCAAAUACUUAAUAUAUCAAAUAAAUAAAAGUAAAAUAUCAAUAGAGUUAUAUAAGUAAUUAUAUAUUAAAAAUAAUAUUAAAACACACACUUUGCUAUUUUCUCUCACCCUCAUAUAUAUAUAUUUAAAAAUCACAUUUAUUGAAUGUAUUGUAUGAAUAAUCAUUAAAGUGAGUCACCUUUUUCUCACCUCACUCAUUCUUUAUAUAUAUAUAUAUAUAUAUAUAUAUAUAUAUAUAUAUAUUUCUAAAUUUCACAAGCAAUAUAAAUUUAAAAAAAAAAAUCAUUAUUUUUUGCGAAAGCUUGCUAUCUAUAUGUGCUUUGUCCUAUUUGUCAGGCAGAGGAGGAAUCGAUGGCUCACUUGUUUCGUGAUUGUGCCUCAUCAAAGCAAGUGCUGGAGGGAAUUGGGGUGAAGCUCUUAGCAGUAAACAUGCAACAAAAUUGGAAACAAUGGUUAAAGGAGGAGGUAAUGAAAUGCAGUAUAAUGGUAUGUAGAUUGCUUGUUAUUUCUUUUUGGGCUAUCAGGCAUAACCGUAACAAAAUUUUCCUGUACAAUGAGGGGGUUAGGGAUCAGAUCCAAGAUGUUAUCGGGUUUAUACAUGCUAGAAAUAGAGCAGUUAAAUGAGUUUUCUUGUCCUGUGCAUACAUCAAGGCCUCUUAGUUGGAAGCCACCAGAGGGGGAGAUUAUCAAAUUUAAUUUUGAUGCUUCUUUUCACCAACAGGGCAUUGAAGUGGAAAAACAAAGGGGAAAAGAUUUGGUGAUUUUUUUGCAAAUUUUCUUCUUUGUAUCUAAUAUUAAUUAAUUAUUAAUUUAUUAUUAUAUAGAAGGGAUAGGUGGAGUUGUUAUUAGUAGAUUGUUGAUUUUACCUUAUAAUUUGUCUGUCCUAUUUGUAUAUUUGUUACAAUAUUCAUAUGGGGAAGACAACUUUUUAUUAUAUGUUUAGCUUUUUUUGAAGUUAUUUAACUGCCAACGAGCUUCAACUAAAGAUUGAAGAAAUAGUACAAUAGAUUUAGAUGAGACUACUAAUAUUAAUUACAAAUUCCGGCCAAGAUGACCUUAUUUGAAAGUAAUAUUAUUAAAAGAGAUAAAUACGAACUCUGAUCAAGUUUAAGUCAACAAUGGAUGAUAAAUAGAUUAUAGAUCUUCAAUUAGAGACUUAAACCUGAACCGCUCAACUUUUGCAGUGUUCGUUGGUCUAAACGUUGAGCCAUUUCAGUGGUCAAAUAAUUCUUCCAGUCUCCAACCUUCCCCUUCCGGAAGAAAAUGUUAUUUUCCAUCUCCCAAUUUCCUUGCCCUCGACAAUGUUUCCCGGUUUUAUUUACUUCCAAGCCACUUAAAUUGUCGAAACUGCACAGCUGUACAAUGUUUUCAGGCACCCCUUGUUGUUGUUCCCUCUGACGAGAAAGGAUAACCCAUAAACUCUGCUGUUUUCUUAAGAUACAAAACAGUAUCUUCAACCAGUUCUUCAUAUUUCAAGAACAUUAACUUGUCUGGAUGUUCCAAACUUGCUUUCCAGUACCCCAAAACAUGGUCCCAAUAUGGCCCAUACGGACUUACACCUUCAUAAAACAAUUCGAACGCUUCAUCAAGUUGAAUGGGUUGAGCAUUUUGGGAUUUGCAGUGCCGUGCAAUGAAAUGAUAUAAUGAAACAAAUGUAUCUUUGGGGUCCCGGCAAAUGUAAAUAAUUUUGCAACCAGAAUCAAUUAUAGAUCUGGGUAAGAAGGAAUAAGGAAGAUGAGUGGCUAAAAGAGGAAUUCCAAGAUGUCGAUUAGUGGAAAACUGGGCAAGCUUGAACUCCAUGAAAGGCACAACAUCAUGAGGCAGCUUGGAAAGUAAAGGGGUGGGGGAAUCAUUGUAUAAAGUUCUUGUAAUAGUGGCAAAAGUGAGGGAUUUUAACCAGGCUGUGCCUGUUCUUAGAGAGCUACAAAGGAUGACAUCAGUGGGUUGAGCCUGGAAUUGUUGUUGAGCCGACAACGCUCCUUGUAGAAAAGACGGGGAGAUCCAAAAACCUUGAUAUUGAUAAUAAUCUUCAAGAAAACCCCAACGAUUCUCUUUAGGGAGAGUAGAUAUCAUCUCUUUGAAAGAUUUUUGAAGCACAUCUCCAUUUUGUUUCUCAAGAUGGGAUUCCAUGAGGGACAGGCUAAUGAGUGCAAAUACGAAAUUACAAGGAUGGCUUUGUAAAUAGGCUGCCACUCUUCUUUUCCUUUUAUAAGCAGGCAGUGGGAUGGAAUGAUAUUUUUUAAUAUAUAAAGAAAUACUAAAAUGAAAAUAUAAAGAAAAAGGAAAAGAUAAACAAUCAACAAAAAUGAAAUUGCGCAGUCUGCACGCUGUCGCCUACUCAAUACAGGGCAGAGCUGGUCGACCCAUCCAUGCUUCACCUUCCACUUAGAUAGUAGGGGCAUAGUACCGAUGAUGUCAAUUUCUAAAAUUAUUUACCAAAAUGGACCCCUCCAAAAAUAAUUAUCGUUAAAAUUUAAAAAUAUGUUGAUAGAUGUGCUCCAAUUUAAAAAGAAGAACAUCACUAUCUCAGUUUCCCCAGUCAACAAAAAUGAAAUAUAAAAAUAGCAGUCUGCACGUUGUUGCAUUCUUCUCCAUUGAUUCUCCAAGAUGACUCACCUUCCAUUCAAGUGCACACCCGAUGCGUCACCUUCAACUCAGAUACUGGGCCAUAGUAAGAUCCAUUUCCAAAAUUAUUAACGAACCGAAAACUAAAAAAACGUACUGAUGGACAUACUUCAAAUUGAGUUUUUAAUAAAUGUUUCAUUUUUUAAAAUAUUACAAUAAUAGACUAAUUUUUUUAAAAAUUUACGAGAAUAAAUCUUUAUAAAGACCCAAAGUGAUAGCACUGCUUUUGUUAAUUAUUUGGUGUCACAAACUUACAAAACAAAUUUUUAUAUAGUCAUGAAUAGGCUUAGAGAUUAUUCCAAGACAAUAUAAGAUUUCAUCUUCUUUUAACUAACAACAUAAGAUUAAAUGCUACACUAUAUUUUAUAUUUUUUUACAAAAUAAUUUCUAUUUUUUUAUUUUGUUAACAUUUUCUCAUAUUAUAAAAUUAUCUUUUAAGAUCUUUAAUCUUGUUGCAUUUUAGAAUUGUUUGGUACAAAGAUAGUAUUUUCUUUUUUUGUAAUUUUAAAAAAUUGAUCUCUUUUUUUUUUAAAUUUUUAGAUUAAAAAUUAAUGAGUAUAAUAAAAUAAUAAAAAAUAUUUAAAAUUUUUUUAUCACUUAAUUAUAAAAUAUUAUAAAAUAGUCAUUUAAUUAUGUCUUUUUAAAUCAUCUGUUUAUAAAAAAAAGUUACAAAAUUGUCAUUCAAUUAUUCAAAUUUCUCUUCCUCUUUUAUUUUUUUGUUGCUGCAUACCUCAAAGUUCAGGAUAAUUGAGUGACCAAAAAAUAAUACUAAUAGCUGAGUGAUCAUUUUGUAAGUUUUUAUAAUUCAAUGGUAAAAAAAUUAUAGUUAAGUGAUUACUAAUGUAAUUUAAUGUAGAUAUAAAAAUAUGAAAAAUAGUUAUUAUAUUUUAUGUAUAACUUCUAAAUUGAAAUAAUGGAAAAUUAUUUUAAAAAAUAGAAUUGCAUGAAUAUUAACUUCGAACAUUUAAAUAAGAAGAUUAUUGCAUGUACAAGUUUCAUAUGUGCAAUUUGUAUUUCUUUUUCUUUUUUUAUUAUGGUAAAAAACCUCAAAAGGUAAUUUUAUAAUAUGAGAAAAAUUUAACAAAAUAAAAAAAAAGAGAAAUUGUUUUGUAAAAAGAUAUAAAACAUAAUGUAUCAUUAAGUUGUUAGUUAAAAGAGGAAGGAAUUCUACAUUAUUUAGGAACAAGUUGCAAAUUUAUUCAUGAAUCUAUAUAAACAUCCCACAUUGCUUUAUGAAAACAAGGGGAAUGAGACUUUGGAUCUACAUAAAGAUAUGUUUUGUAAGUUUUAUUUCCACAUUAAUUGGUGGCACACAAAAAAAUAAUGUUGCCACUUUGGGUCUUUAUAUAGACUUAUUCUUAUAAAUUUUCAAAAAAUUGCAUCUAUGUCAGCGCGUGUUUGCCAGACACGAGGAAAAACGUGUCCUUGUCAGCACGUUUUUGGGUUUUCGAUCUAUACCUAUAAUUAUUUUUAGAAGCAACCCAUUUCCAUAAAUAAUUUCAGAAAUGAGCCUUUAUUGGUACUAUGCCCUAGAUAGUAUUGCCCAACUUCAUUUGAAGCCCUUGCGAAUAUAAGAGUUUAUUUUUUUAUAUUAUAAUAUAAGGAUGAGUAAAAUUUGAUUCAAUCAAAAAAUUUGAUAAAAAAUUUAAAUUUUGAUUUAAAUAAUUCGAGUUAUUUGAGUUAUUCGGAUAACUCUAAUAAAAAAUCAAAAUUUUCAAUUUAACUCAAACAUGAAAUACGCAAUUCGAGUUAUUACAUCAUUUUGAUAAAUGUUUACCUUUUUUAAAGUUAAAAGUCAAAACUAUUAUAUUGUUCAUGUAGUUAAAUAAUAUUGUGGCUUUUUUUACCUGGGUAAUAUAAAUAAAUAAUUAAAUACCAUAAUGGUAUGCCAAUACAAUUUUUUACUAAAGUGGUAUGUUUGCAACAGUGUUAGGGGUGGAGAGCAUGGAAAAUGUGGCAACAUGUUUUUUUUUACUUAAUCAUCAAAACAUCAUUACAAAAUGAUAUGGGAUAAAAAAUAUAUAUUUUAAGGGUGGAAGGUGUGAGAGAUGCGGCACCAAUAUUCGAUUUAUGAAAAAACUUAGUAAAAAAAGGCCACUGAAAUCGGUGGCUAUUGAAUAUGUCAGCUAGGGUUUUCAAUUAAGGAGAAGAAGAGAAAGAAAAUAAAAUAAAAUAAAAAAUAGAAGCAUUCAACAUGAACCGAAAAAGAAAGAAAAAAAUAAAAGAAAGGAAAGUUAUGAAGCCCACGAUUUUAAUCCUAUUCAAGUUGUCAGUCAAAUUUUAAAUAAGCUGGAUUUUAACAUGGAAAUUUGAACAACAAAAUAGAAGCAUUAAAAGUGUAACACCCCUAACCUGUAAUCGUCGCCGGAAUAGGUUAAGAGGGAUUACCGGACUUGCAACUCAUUUCAGAACAAUAAUUCAUCAACAUUUAACUAAUAUCACAUCAUUUCAGUAAUUAUCAAUCAUUCAUAAUUGAAAUUAAUUAUACACCAUUAUACAACAAAAUUAGCAUUCUAAACUCACUUGAUAUUUAUAAUUUCUUUCCAUACAUUAAUAUAGACAAUAAAACAACUCAUUUACUUCAAUUUGGUUAUUUUCAACAUUUUUACAAAAUUAUCCCUAAAGUUUUACUUUUAUUCAAUUUAGUCCCUGAACCUAAAACAUGUAAAUUAGCUAUUUUUAAAAUAAACUCAUAUUAGCUGAAUAUUCACAUAUAUUUUUCCACCUCCUCCACUCCAUUCUACAUCCUUGAUAUACAUAAUGCCACUAUUUACUUGCAUACUCAUAACAAGUUGUUCACUUGAUGUCAUAGUCACUAAAUUAAUUAUAUCUUAAGCUACAGAACUACGAAUUGAGAUCCGCUAAUUUUAUCUGAAACUAGACUCACAUAUCUUCUUACCAUAAAAUUUUUAGAAUUUAUGGUUUAGCCAAUAAGUACAGUUUAUUCUUUAAAGUCAUCCCUGUUCUGCUGUUUGACAGUUUUGACCCUUCUUCACUAAAAAUUAAUUAUUUCCUCGUACGGGAUUCGUAUAAUGUUCUUGUUUGUUUCUAUUGAAACAUAUAAAUUAUAACCCAUAAUUAUUUUUAAAAAAAUUUUAAUGAUUUUCCAAAGUCAGAACAAGGGAACCCGAAAUCAUUCUGAUCUUGUCUCACAAAUUUUAUUAUAUCUCAUAAUUUACAAUUCCGUUGCUUACACUUUUUAUUCUAUGGAAGACUAGACUCAAUAAAAUUUAAUUUCAUAUUUUAUUCGACCUCUAAUUCAAUUUCUACUAUUUUUGGUGAAUUUUCAAAUUCAAACUACUGUUGCUGUCCAAAACUGUUUUAGUGUAAAAUGUUGAUAACCAAAUUUAUAACACCCUCCUUUCCUUUCUCUACAAUAUUUUCCAUCACUUCCUUUUAUUUUCCUUCACUAACAUAUCAAGAACACAGAAUCUUAUAUAAUAAAACUCUACUUUAACAUCAAUUUCAUACUUAUUCAAUAAUAUCAAACUAAAAAAUAUAUUGAAAUCUUGAUAUUCUUACCUUGUCCUAUUGAUUUAAAUCUUUAACUUGAUUUUGUAACUAAUUCACUAAAACUUAACAUUCCAUUUAAACAUCCUAACACAAUACUUUAUUUCACACAUAAAUUUUUGUACACUUUACAAUUUAGUCCUUAUUAUAAAAUAUUUAAUGUAAUUUGAAAUUUUCCCACACAUUCACUUUUUAUAUCAUCAAACUUCAUUUGUAUUCUCUUUUAAACAUUCAAAUUCACAUAACCUAUUUUGUUUACUUUACAAUUUAUUCUCGUUUUCUACUACUUCAAUAUACCAUUUUAAUUUUCAUACAUAAUAUUAGCACAUUCACAAUUAAUUCAACUAAUUAAGCAUACUCUAGACUUGAUUAAAAUUAAAUAAAGUAAAUUUCUUAAAGUACUUACCUUGUCUCUUUAAUUUCCUCACUUUUUCUACCAUUUUCUUCACUUUCACUUCCAAUUUCUCUCUUCCAAGAUGAUAUUUUAACUCUCUAAUGUCUCUACUUCACUUCUUCUUUUGGGUGGUUAUGAAAAUUUUCAAAGAAUUUUAGAGAAAAUGUGAUAUUUCAUAGUAAAGGACCAAAUUGUAAAGAAAAGAAAGUUCUUUCUUUCAAUUCUCCCCAUACGUUGGAAUGCAUGGGAGGUUGAUGAUAAUUCUUCAUCUUCCUUUUCUUAUAUAUACUAAAUAAAAUAAUAAUAAAAUAAUAAAAUAUCAUUUAAAAAUUAAAUUAAAAUAUUAAUAAACUAAUAUUUAUUUAAUUAAUCUAAAAUAUCUCCAACAUCAUCAUUAUCUUCUAGAUUUCUCUCUCUUCUAAUUGACCAUUUUGCCCUUCAUAAUUUUUUAAAAUUUCAUCCUCGAGUCAUUAUUUAAUUUGAUAAAAUUACAAUUUAGUCCCUCAUAAUUCUUCAUCUAUUCAAUUUGGUCUUAAUUCAUCCAUUUUCCUUAUUUUACUAUAUCAAGAAUAAUAUCUCACCGUAGAAAUUUUUAGGAUAUCACAAAAAGUACUCAACCUAUAUUGGUAGAACCAUUUUAAAAGAAAAAAAAACUUAUAAUUGUUUAAUGAAUGGGGAAAAUGGGGUGGUGUCAUCGGUGUGUCAAGUGGCACCGACAGGGACUAUUCAAAACACACAUUUCGUAAAUAAUUUUUCUCUAACCUAUUUUCGUAAUUAAUUAUUUUUAUAUUAUUUUUGUAAAAAAAUCUCAAUUAACUUAUGACAUCAAUUUAAUCAAAUACUUAAUAUAUCAAAUAAAUAAAAGGAAAAUAUCAAUAGAUUUAUAUAAGUAAUUAUAUAUUAAAAAUAAUAUUAAAACACACACUUUGCUAUUUUCUCUCACCCUCAUAUAUAUAUAUAUAUAUAUAUAUAUAUAUUUAAAAAUCACAUUUAUUGAAUGUAUUGUAUGAAUAAUAAUUAACGUGAGUCACGUUUUUCUCACCUCACUCAUUCUUUAUAUAUAUAUUUUUCUAAAUUUCACAAGCAAUAGUAAUUUUUUUUUAAAAAAAAUCAUUUUUUUUUUGCGAAAGCUUGCUAUCUAUGUGCUUUGUCCUAUUUGUCAGGCAGAGGAGGAAUCGAUGGCUCACUUGUUUCGUGAUUGUGCCUCAUCAAAGCAAGUGCUGGAGGGAAUUGGGGUGAAGCUCUUAGCAGUAAACAUGCAACAAAAUUGGAAACAAUGGUUAAAGGAGGAGGUAAUGAAAUGCAGUAUAAGGGUAUGUAGAUUGCUUGUUAUCUCUUUUUGGGCUAUCAGGCAUAACCGUAACAAAAUUUUCCUGUACAAUGAGGGGGUUAGGGAUCAGAUCCAAGAUGUUAUCGGGUUUAUACAUGCUAGAAAUAGAGCAGUUAAAUGAGUUUUCUUGUCCUGUGCAUACAUCAAGGCCUCUUAGUUGGAAGCCACCAGAGGGGGAGAUUAUCAAAUUUAAUUUUGAUGCUUCCUAAUAAUUCUUUUCACUUACUCGUAGGAGAAUGUUGUGGACUCGACCAUGGCAGAGGCAAGAGCAUGUUUGAAGGCGGUCUCCUUUGCGGAAGAGUUAGUGUUUCAAAAUGUGUGCGUUGAAGGGGAUGCUUUGACCAUCAUUCGGAAACUACAAUCGGGAGAGGAGGACAGAUCAAGUUUCAGUACUAUCAUUUCAGCAAUUAAAGGGAGAAACACUAGAUUCAGGACUUUAGAGUUCAGAUUUGUACCUAGAGAAGAAAAUGAGGCGACACAUGUGAUGGAAGUGGAGGGUAGGAAGCACGAUCAUGCAAUGAACUGGAUAGAGGAGGUUUCGAGGGAGGUGGAAAGAAUUGUUGUUGUAACACCCCAAACUCGGCCUAAAGGUAUAUACCAUACCGUUAACCAAAGAGGAGCUGAAAACCGGUGAGUCAAUGCCAGUCAACACUAACACAAGUCAGGUUUCGGUAGUCGGAGAAGUAUCGAAGGUAAAAGUAGGUCAGACGUGGUGCGUCGCGAACGGGAAAGCCGAUGAGAAGAAGUUACAAGCGGCGUUGGAUUAUGCUUGCGGAGAGGGUGAGGCUGAUUGUAGCCCUAUCCAACCUGGCGCGACGUGUUAUAAUCCGAACACACUCGAAGCACAUGCUUCAUACACUUUCAAUAGUUAUUAUCAGAAGAACACACAUGCGACUGGCACAUGCGAGUUCGGUGGUGCGGCUUAUGUGGUCACCCAACGUCUUAGUAUGUUAUUCUUUUCCCCUCAUAAUUUCUUCUCGCUCGAUUCGACCCUUAAACACCUCUAAUUUCUGUAAUUUUUUAAUUGCAGCAUAUGGGAAUUGUGAGUUUCCAACAGGGGAUUGAAGAGGAAAAACAAAGGGGAACAGAUUUGGUGAAUUUUUUGCAAAUUUUCUUCUUUGUAUCUAAUAUUAAUUUAUUAUUAUAUACAAGGGGUAGGUGGAGUUGUUAUUAGUAGAUUGUUGAUUUUACUUUAUAAUUUGCCUGUCCUAUUUGUAUAUUUGUUACAAUAUUCAUAUAGGGAAGACAACUUUCUAUUAUAGGUGUCGAAACCAUUUUUAUUUUUGAGAAAAAAAUAAAAAUUAGUUGUCGAUGAAAAUUGGAGUCGUCACCAAUCUUUUAUUAAGGUGUGAUUGGAUCACCUAAAAACGACUUUGGUCUACGAGUUUUAGAAAAACGGGUUCGGGAGUCUGUUACGUACGAGGAAGGAUUAGCACCCUCGUAACGCCCCAAAAUUGGUACCAAGUUGAUUAAUUAGUGUCUUAAUGUCGAGAGUUGAAAAAUACGAUCCCUAAUUAGAUUAAAUUAUUUAUUAAGACUUUCUCAUUUUGAAAAAGAAAAUGUCACACCUAAUGCGUUAGGGCACAAUAUUUUAUUUCUUCAAGAUGAGUUUGUCCAAAAGACUCGUGUAAUAAAAUUUAAAAGAAUAUUCAAUUGUUUAAAAUUUAUGAAGAAAUCGCAGCCCAAUACACUAGGGCACAAUUUCUCAAAAUCCUAAUCAUUGAACAUGUAGCGACCUAAAAUUUGGGCGAUCGGGCGCUAGUCGAAGUAAUUAUUGAAAGUUUGAAAACGGAGUUUCGAUUUUAUUUUCAAAAGGAGUCGCCACCGAUCUUUUUUUAGGUGUGAUCGGACACCUAAUAAAUUCUCUUUUUAAAAGAAAAAAUUAUUUUUAAAUUUUCCUAAAAAAGAGGUAAUUUUAGGUCUGCGUGAAAUUUCAGAGAAAAUUAGGGUUCGGGAGUCAGUUACGCGCGAGGAAUGUAUUAGCACCCUCGCGACGCCCAAAAUUGGUAUCUCGUUAAACGCGCGUUGUCUUAAUUUUUAAAAAUACAAGUUCAAUUUAAUAUUUAAUUGUGAUCCGAUUGAAACUUGAGAAAACUUUUUUUUUGUUUUUAAACACGAGAACUUUGAAACACAAUAAUAAUUUUUGAAAACACGAAGAUUUUUGAAACACGAAAAUUUUUUGAAAACACGGAAUUUUUUUGAAAACAAGGAAAUUUUCGAUACAUGAGAAUUUUUUGACACGAAAAAUUUUGAAAAUACGAAAAUUUCGAAAACAUGAAUUUUUUUAAAAUACGAUUUUUUUUUAAAAACACGAGAAUUUUUUUUGAAAACCCGAAAACAUGAAAAUUUUGAAAACACGAAAAUUUUUUGAAACACGAGAAUUUUUUGAAAAUACGAAAACACGAAAAUUUUUUUUAAACACGGGAAUUUUUGAAAACACGAAAUUUUUUUAUUCACGAGAAUUUUUGAAACACGGAUUUUUUUAAAGAAAGAAACACGAAUAUAUUUUUUGAAACACGGGAAAUUUUAUUAUUAUUAUUUUGAAACACGAGAAAUUUUGAAGACAUGAAAAUUUUUGAAACACGAUUUUUUUCUUUAAAAAAUACCAUAUUUAACACGAAUCGAUGAUAUUCACCCCGAUAUGGCGAUGAAACCAUCGAAUUAGUGUUAAAUCAAUUCAAUUUAAUCUUUAAUCGAGAUCUUAAUAAAACACGAGAAUUUUUAUUAAAAUACGAGGAAUUUUGAAUAUUUUCGAUUUUUAGAAGUGCGUCUCGUAUUUAACAUAAGCCAUCGAUAUUCACCCAACAUAACAAUGAAUUCGAUGACUAAAAUAAAUGUAAAAAUAUUUCUAAAAACUAUAAAAAAAAUGCUAAUUUAAUUGAAAUAAUACAAUAUUUAAAUAAAUGGACUAAAUUUUUAAAAAAAUUGAGAAAUUACCAAAAGCCCCCCUUUUCCUUUUUUCUUUUUGGCCUAAUAGGAGUUGGGCUGCCAAAUUUGGGCCUGGGUGCUGGGCUGCCGCUGGAACGGGCCUGGGCUGGGCUGCCGCUGGAACGGGCCUGGGCUGGCCUGCUGCAGAUUUUUUCUUCUCUUUUUUGAUAAACUUGUUGGGUUUGGGCUACUAAAAUUAUUGGGCUGCUACUUUUGUUCUUUUUUAUUGUUUUUUUUUUCUUUUUCUUUCUUUUUCUCUCUUUUUUCUUUCUCCUUUCUUCUUCUUCUUCCCUUUACUUUUUCUUUCCGUUGAGCCCAGCCUCCGCUUCUCCUCCAUUGUCCACUGCCACCGUCGACUCCUCCGUUCGGUGGUGCUAGUCUCGGCGUUCUCUCCUCUUCUUUUCUCCUCCCUUUUUCUCUUCUUUCUCUUAUCUUCUCCCUUUGGCUUUCUCUCUUUUCUUCUCUUCUCCCCUUUCUUUUUCUUUCUCUUUCGAAAGCCCGGAAAUUAGAAGCGACGCCGCCCCUCCAAUCCGCCGUUCGUUACUCGAUCCUCCUCCGCCUUAAGUGGCCGUGGUAAAGGGUAGGGAUCUCUUGCUAUAUUUGUUUUUUUUUUUGCCCUUUUUUACUCUUUUCUUUGCUUUUGGUUGCUUGUGGAUUGUUGAGUUUGGUUUGUUUCUUUGUGAUGAUGAAUGAGGAAUGUGGAUGGGGACAUGGGGAGAAUCGGCUGAAUCUUAGAAAUUUCAAAGCUUUUUUCUCUGUUUUUUUUUUGCUUGACUGCCCCCCAUUUCUUCUCUUCCAUUUUUUCUUUUUAAAAGCUCCAAAUUUUGUCCUCUUUCUCAUUGUUUGCAGGUGGCAGAGGAGCCAUGAUGGCCUAGGGGGGCUGCUGGAGUAGCUCGGCUGGGAGGGGUACGCUCGGCUGCUGCAGCGGCGAUUAGACAAGUCCGGAAGGACUAAAUUGCAUAGGAUGCAAAGCUUCUGGGGCAAAAGUGUAAUUUUAGGAAAAUAUAGGGCUAAAGGGUAAUUUCUAGAAACUUUAGGGGUUAAAGUGAAAUUUUGAGAAAGUUUAAGGGUUGAAAUGUAAUUUUAGAAAAGUUUAGGGUUAAAAUGUAAAUUUUGAAAAGUAUAGGGGUCAAAAUGCAAUUUUUUUAAUUUUUUUUAACACGAAAUUAUUCCCGGACAAAAUUCAGUGAUUACAGAACAUUUCAUUUAUUAAUUUUUAGAAAAAAAUCUUUAUCUCAAGAAAUCAACAUGUCACAUCCAAGGCAUUAGGACACAGCAUAUUGAAUUUUCGAUGACAAGCUUUUUAUUUCGUUUGUUUAAAGAGCAUUCUCGAUAAUUAAAUUCAACGAAGAAAAUUAGAACCUAAUACGUUAGGGCUCAAUCUUUUCAAAGAUUCCAAAUACUGAGUAUUGCCUUUAUUUUUCAAAAUUUUCUCGUUAUACGAAUUUGGGUAAAAAUUAUAUAAUGGAGUAACAAUUGUGAUAAUGUCAAUAUAAAUAGCAUGAUCAAGAACAAUAAUAAUAAUAAUAAUAAUAAUAAUAAUAAUAAUGAAAAGAUAAAUAAAAAACAAAUCAAUCAUGUAUACACAAUAUCAAGUAAAUAAACAAAUAAAACCGAAGCAUUUAAAGAAUAUAAUAAUGAUAAUAAUGGUCACGUGAAUAAAUAAAUAAAUAAACAUCAAGUAAAGCAAUAAUAGUAACAAAGAAAAUAGAUAAAAAUUAUAAAAUAUAAAAAUAUAUAUAUGUACAAAUAAGAAAUAUAUAUAUGUAUGUGAAUUAUAAAAAAUAAAAAAUAAAAAUAUAAUAUAAAUAUACCUAUUUUAAUAUGUAAAAUAUAUAUAUAUAAGUAUGUAUAUAAAAUUAUGAAACAUAGAAAAUAUAUAAAAGUAUGUGUAUAUAUAUAUUAAAAAUGUAUACGUAUAUGUACAUAUUAUAAAACGUAUGUAUGUAUACACAUAUAUAUAACAAAAUUUGAAAUUUAAAGGCAUAAAAAAGUAAAUAAUAAUGAUACAAGAUUAAUGAUGCCACAUAAUAGUAUUAAUAAUAUUAAAAUAAUUAAUUUAAUAAAAAAACUAAAAUAACAAAUAGAGGAUUAAAUAGUAUCAAUAAUCAAAGACCAAUAAAUUUAAAACAAAGAGAAAUAAAAAAAAUAAGGCAAAAUAAAAUGUAAACAAAUUUGAAAAUGAGUAAUAAGGGAAAUAGAGAUUUGAAAUCAACAAUAUACAAAUCAAUAAAUAAAUUAUACAUAAAUCAACAAAAUAAGAACAAGCCACAGAAAAUAAAAACGCAAGAGAGAGAGAGAUUUGAGUGAAUACUCUUAAGAAUUAUUAUUACUCCCGACUCCCCCCAAUCUUUUACAAUGAAGGGAGAAGCCUCUAUUUAUAGUUGAACCUCCUCAAAUCCAACGGUACAGAUCAAUUACAUCAACGACUAAGAUUAAAGGGUAUCUACAAAUUAAAUCUCUAAGAUUACAAAAUCAUAUCUUCUAAGAUUACAUAUAAUAUCUAAGAUUGUAUAUGUCAUAUCUAAGAUUGCAUAUCCUUGAAGAUUAUGUUUCUAUAAGCUUGUAGAUGGUUCAACCUUUCCAAGUAAUGGGCCAUUCCGAUCGGGCCAAAUGAUAUAAUUUUGGACUUUGUUUUAUUAUUUUGGGUUUAUUAUUUUUUAUGAGCCCGGGCUAAAUUGGCCUAUUACAGCUACCCCUCUUUGCUCAUUGUCGUGUAACGAGAAUGGAGCAAAGACUAUAAAAUGGCCAAUUUUGCUCGGUCUUGCUGGGUUUUGACUUCUUUGAGUGCUCGUUUUCUUCAAGUAGGUUCGUUCUAACCCACUGCAUCUUCAGAGGGAGAGAAGCUGGUGCUUCAAUCCACUCCACUGCGACAUCAGGGAAAUAAGAUUUGUAACUUGUAGUUUCUCAACAGAAUCUAUUAUAUUCGGUCUGCUCCAUUGCUACCUCAGGGAGAUAAGACUUGUAGCUUCAACUGGUUUCAAUGUAAUUUCAAGGAAAUAAGACUGGAUGUGAUCUGUUCUACUGCAACUUCAGAGAGAUAAGAUCUGUGGUUUUAAUUCGCUCCACUGUAACUUCAGGGAGAUGGGAUUGGUUUCUUCAGUCUGUCCCACUGCAACUUCAAGGGGAUAAGACUUGCUUUCUUGAGUCUGCUCCGCUGCAACCUCAGGGAGAUAAGACCUGAUGUGAUCCACUCUACUGCAACUUCAGAGAGAUAAGAUCUAUUAUUUUAAUCCGCUCAGUUGCAACCUCAGGGAGAUAGGAUUAAUGACUUCAAUAAACUCCACUGUAACCUCAGGGAGGUAAAAUCUACCAUCUUCAGUCUGCCCCACUGCAACUUCAGGGGGAUAAGACCUGCUUACUCAGUUUGCUCCGCUGCAACCUCAGGGAGAUAAGACCUGAUGCGAUCCACUCUACUGCAACUUCAGAGUGAUAAGAUCUAUUAUUUUAAUCCGUUCCGCUGCAAUCUCAAGGAGAUUGGAUUAAUGGCUCCGAUCUGCUUCAUUGCUAAUACAAGAAGGCAAGAUCUGGUGCUUUCAACCUGCUCCGCUACAACCCAGAGAGGUAAGGCUGGUGUCUUCGAUUUGCUCCACUACUGUUUAGCGAGAUAAGAUCUGUAAUUUUCAACCUACUCCACUGCUGCUCAGGGAGACAAGGCUGGGGUCUUCGAUCUGCUCCACUACUGCUUAGGGAGAUAAGAUCUGUAAUCUUCAACUUAUUCCACUGCUGACCAGGGAGAUAGAAUUCACAAUCUUCAACCUAUUCCACUGCUGACCAGGGAGAUAGGACUUACAAUCUUCGAUCUACUUCGCCGUCAGUACAGGAAGGCAAGAUCUAUUAUUUUCAACCUAUUCCACUGCUGCUCAGGGAGACAAGGUUGGGGUCUUCAAUUUGCUCCACUACUGCUUAAGGAGAUAAGAUCUGUAAUCUUCAACCCAUUCCACUGCUGACCAGGGAGAUAGGACUUACAAUCUUCGAUUUGCUUCGCCGUCAGUAUAGGAAGGGAAGAUUUGUUAUUUUCAACCUGCUCCGCUACAACCUAGGGAGGCAAGGCUUUGUGAUUUCACCGAUCUGUUCUCUAGGGAACAUGACCUGUAUAAUGAACCUAAUUAUGCCUAAUGAUUAGGAUGACAUGAUCAAAAUGAAUCAAAUGCUCCAAACUAGACAUGUAUGAAUGGUGUUUGCAUGAAUAUAGAAUGCUGUUUUUUUAGAAUGAUCAUUUUUUAUCACUUAGGUUAUCCUUGCUCGAAGAUUGUUUUGUCACUGUCGUGCUUCAACACCUUCCUUCUUGGCUGGCAUAUUUACUUAAUCAGAUUGCCUCCCACUGUAAACCUCAAAGUUCAAUCCACUGGGACGCAAAAUUUGUACUAUCAUUCUCUUAUUGCAACCCGAGGGUAGAAAUAUAUAAUUUUUUCAAUCCUCUCCUAUCACAAUUCAAGGAUACAGAAUCUAAAUCUCUCCGGUUGCUUACACCAUUCCCAGGGUGUUGUACCAAAAGCUCAUGCACAAAUAAAGGCUUUCUUCUCCGAGGAAACCUCUUCCUAUUGCCUGGUAAUCAUUGCUUGCUUGUUUAUUUAAGCUUUGUCACCAAUCUUGACAUCUUGUCACUUUGUUCAAUCAAUGUUUUUGACAACAAAAUCCAAAGAGAAAGCCUAAAUUUAGACUCUUUCUUCUCAAAUUUCCAACCUUUAAACAUGGUGCGUUCUAAACAAAGUCCUGUUUCAAGCUCCUGUAUUAUUUAGAAACUUCUAGAGUAAUAUGCAAAACUUCCCUUCUGAAAGUUUUGUUAGUCCAUUAAUCAUUAUUCCAAUGCAACAUACUUGCAAAAAGGGUCAUAACAAUGGAUAGGAAUAAAGUUGGAUCUGAGCAUAACUCGAAAGGAAUAAAUUAUCAAAAAUAGUAAAGAAGGAUAACAAAGAAAUUGAUUAGGAAUGUGUAUCUUGGAAAAGAUUCAAUAUAAAUAGAAAGCAAAUUGGGUGCCCUAGAUAUCGCAGCUUGAAUUUCUCUGUACAAACUUUUUGAAGACCCUUGUGAGUUUGACAUGUGUUUGAGAGAUCUACAGUGCUCUUUCGAUGCCUCAAGAUGUUGCCUACCCUUUCCUGUUGAUUCAAGUAUAGCAAGAUCAUCAUAUGCCCCAAUCUGAUCAAAAUUUGAGCUGUUCUGAUCACCUCAUGCACCAUUCUGAUCAAUAUUUGAGCCGCCCUUUUCGGGUUUUCGACUUAAAUCCCCUUUGGUCUCAAGGCGCCCUUUGCGGGUUUUCACCUUGGCCUCUCCAUUUUCUUUUUCUUUGGUUUAUUAUUAUUUUUUAUUUUGAUUUUGAUUUUGAUUUUUUCUUUUUUUUGCUUUUGAUUUUUUUUUGUGAAUUGGAUCUGAACUCAUAGGAUUAGGCAAGUCCUGGUUAUCCCAAUGUUUUUUUCGAUAAAGUCUCCCUCAUAAGAUCUUUCACUUUCAUAUUAUAUGCGAAAAAUCUUCUUUGGUACCAGAUUUCUUUCGUAGAGUCUUUUGGGACGAAAAUAGGUUGUUUAUUUAAAAAAACACAUCAAACAAUCAUGAGCUUUUUAAAAAAUAUCUUUUUUGGUACCGCCACUGUGUCAAGAGGCAUAGUUAUGUAUUUUUUAAAAAAAUACAUGAGAAAAUACAGGUAUACUAGAGAACGAAAAAAAAUAUUUUAAUGAUGUCGCCAGUGUGUCAAGCGACAUCGAUAUAUUUAAAAAAAAGUGGUUUGAAAUGAAAAAAAAAAGAAAACAAAAAAAUAGGGUGUCAAGGGUGGAAGCCCGUGACUCUAUUUGGGUUCAAAGCUUCGUGACUUUAUUCGAUGAUCUGAACGGUGAGGUGGUGUGUUUAACUAUGGGGAACAACAUAUCUCCGACUGGUGAAGAUUUGACAGUGCAAAAUAGAGAUUGAAGAAAGAGUAGUUCGAAGAUUUGGUCAUUAUUUUAGAAGAUUUGGAAUCGGCUACUGGGAGAUCUGCACAGUAGAAGUCAAUAUGAGAAGGAGAAAAUCUCUUCUUUGGUGUCGAAAUCGGCACAAAAGGCCACGAUAAACACCAAAAUCGAUGGCUAUUGUGUAUGUCAGCUAGGGUUUUCAAUUAAGGAGAAGAAGAGAAAACAAUUAAAUAAAAUAAAAAAUAGAAACAUUCAGCAUGAAAAGAAAAAGAAAGAAAUUUUUAAUUCUAUUAAAGUUGCCAGUCAAAAUUUAAAUGAGCUGGAUUUUAACAUGAAAAAUUGAAUAACAAAAUAGAAGCAUUAAAAGUACUCAACCCAAGAUGUAAUUUUUUUUAAAAACAAUUAAAGUGAUGUCGUUGGCUUUCAGGGGACGCCCAUUUAAAAAAAAAUUAUUCCUCAAUGUUCUUGUAUUUUGUUAGGUAUUUUUCAAAACAUACAUACAGAUAAUGCCUAACAUAAUGGCGGAACAAUUUAAAAAAAAAUCUCAAUUAAAUUAUGACAUCAAUUUAAUCAAAUACUUAAUAUAUCAAAUAAAUAAAAGUAAAAUAUCAAUAAGUAAUUAUAUAUUAAAAAUGAAAUUAAAACACACACUUUUUUAUUUGCUCUCACCCUCAUAUAUAUAUAUAUAUAUAUAUAUUUAAAAAUCACAUUUAUUAAAUGUAUUGUAUGAAUGAUCAUUAAAGUGAGUAACUUUUUUCUGACCUCACUUAUUCUUUAUAUAUAUUUUUCUAAGUUUCACAAAUGAUAAUAAUUUUUUUAAAAAAAAGUCAUUAUUUUUUGUGAAAGCUUGCUAUCAAGCUUUUUUUUUAUAAAAAUAACCUUUAAAAAUUAAUUAAUUACUUAAAUAAUUUAUUAUCAGAACACACUUGAAGCACAUGCUUCAUACGCUUUCAAUAGUUACUAUCAGAAGAACACACGUGUAACUGGCACAUGUGAGUUCGGUGGUGUGGCUUAUGUGGUCACCCAACGUCCUAGUGUCACGGGCCGCAGUUCAAAGCCCAUGACAAUCGCACCAAAUGCAUCCAAUGGAGGUCUAUUGCUCAGAUGGGGAUCAUUUGGCCUACGAGAACUGGCCCGAUUCAAAGAGUUAUUGGAGAAGCCUGUCAGAUUUAAGCCUGGUUGGCCCUAUAGUGAAGACAUGACAACUUAGGCUAAUAUGGUAAUUAAUCUUAGAAGAUAGAGGGAAUCAUAUCUUGUAAAGAUUAGAUUAGAUUUGAUAUGUCAUAUCUUGUAAAUCCCUAAAAUAAAGCGAUAUGAUUAAUCUCGUCCGUCAAUGUAAAUGUAUCUUAACCGUCGGUUUUAGGGGAGCUCAACUAUAAAUAGAGAGCCUCCCCCUCAGUUGUACUCACUUCAUUCAUUGUCUCAUUAUUCUUUGUGAAUAAGAGAAUUGAGAGCAUUUAUUCAAACACCUUGUAUGCAUUCUUUUCUGUGUCUUUCUGUUGUUCUUUGGUUUAGCUUCUUUUGGCAUAAAUCGCUUCCGCUCUUCAAUUGGUGCCUUGGAGAAGUUCUUAAGGAAUCCUCACUUGAUUUAAGGCUGACUUAGGCGAGUUUGGACGAACGGAUCGCCUAAGGCCGCACGGGUCGCGUGACGAAAACUCUAGCCCCGUGACACGAGUAUGUUAUUCUUUUCUCUCAUAAUUUUUUCUCGCUCAAUUCAACCUUUGAACACCUCUAAUUUCUUUUUUUUUUUAAUUGCAGCAUAUGGGAAUUGUGAGUUUCCAACAGGGCAUUGAAAUGGAAAAACAAAGGGGAAAAUAUUUGGUGAAUUCUUUUGCAAUUUUUUCUUCUUUGUAUCUAAUAUUAAUUAAUUAUUAAUUUAUUUGCAUAUAGAAGGGAUAGGUGGAGUUGUUAUUAGUAGAUUGUUGAUUUUACUUUAUAAUUUGUCUGUUCUAUUUGUAUAUUUGUUACAAUAUUCAUAUGGGGAAGACAACUUUCUAUUAUAUGCUUAGCUUUUAUUUAAGUUAUUUAACUGUUGAAGCUCUAUCAACGAGCUUCAACUAAAGAUUCAAGAAAUAGUACAAUGGAUUUAUAUGAGACUACUAAUAUUAAUUACAAAUCCCGGCCAAGAUGACCUUAUUUGAAAGUAAUAUUAUUAAAAGAGAUAAAUACGAACUCUAAUAAUGUUUAAGCCUAACAAUGGAUGAUAAAUAGAUUAUAGAUCUUCAAUUAGAGACUUAAACCUGAACCGCUCAACUUUUGCAGUGUUCGUUGGUCUAAACGUUGAGCCAUUUCAGUGGUCAAAUAAUUCUUCCAGUCUCCAACCUUCCCUUUCCGGAAGUAAAUGUUAUUUUUCGUCACCAAAUUUCCUUUCCCUUCACGAUGUCUCCCGGUUUUAUUUACUUCCAAGCCACUUAAAUUGUCGAAACUGCACAUCUUCACAAUGUUUUCAGGCACCCAUUGUUGUUGUUCAUCUGACGAGAAAGGAUAACCCAUAAACUCUACUGUUUUCUUAAGAUACAAAACAGUAUCUUCAACCAAAUCUUCGUAUUUCAAGAACAUUAACUUGUCUGGACGUUCCAAACUUGCUUUCCAGUACCCCAAAACAUGGUCCCAAUAAGGCCCAUACGGACAUACACCUUCAUAAAACAAUUCGAACGCUUCAUCAAGUUGAAUGGGUUGAGUAUUUUGGGAUUUGCAGUGCCGUGCAAUGAAAUGAUACAAUGAAACAAAUGUAUCUUUGGGGUCCCUGCAAAUGUAAAUAAGUUUACAACCAGAAUCAAUUAUAGAUCUGGGUAAGAAGGAAUAAGGAAGAUGAGUGCCUAAAAGAGGAAUUUCAAGAUGUCGAUUAGUGGAAAACUGGGCAUGAUCGAACUCCAUGAAAGGCACAACAUCAUGAGGCAUCUUGGAAAGUAAAGGGGUGGUGGAAUCAUUGUAUGAAGUUCUUGUAAUAGUGGCGAAAGUGAGGGAUUUUAACCAGGCUGCGCCUGUUCUUGGAGAGCUACAAAGUAUGAUAUCAGUUGGUUGAGCUUGGAAUUGUUGUUGAGCCGACAAUGCUCCUUGUAGGAAAG
rnacentral:lncRNA from 1 species